rnacentral:lncRNA from 1 species
UUUUUUUUUCAUGUCAAACUAAAAUUAUAUUUUACUGAAGGUAUGCCUCAUUUGCAAGGUUAUAUGCUUUGAAAUUAAAGAUGAUAUUUUUUCCCCUUUUUUGCAGGUUCCAAACAACUAUGAGACUGACUUGAUUUACCCCAUUAUAGAAAAGGCAUCAGCACUGGCUAAUAUCUCAUAUCCUUUGGCAGAUGAGCAAACAAAAUUGAAAUUAAAGGUAAAAGUUUCAGUUUGCUUGCUAUAAUUUUUGUUAGAUUUAAGAUAUUUUGGCAAAUAAAGUUUCUUAAUUUGUUUCAUGGUCUCAGUGUUUAAAAUUUUCUAUUGCUUUUAGGUUGUAGGAGAUCAUCUAAGGGCAAUAGUGUAUCUCAUAUCGGAUGGUGUUUUGCCGUCAAAUAUUGGUAGAGGUUAUGUGGUUCGACGGCUUAUUAGAAGGGUUGUUCGAGCUGGCAGGUCCCUCGGUAUAAAGGGAGAAAGAAGAGAUAAUCUUGAAGGAGCAGUUUUACCUAUAAUUGCAGAAAAAGUAAUAGAAUUAAGCACCCAUAUUGAUCCGGAUGUCAAGAUUAAAGCGCCCCGUAUUCUUGAGGAACUGAAGAAGGAAGAGCUUAAUUUUGUGCAAACUCUAGAGAGAGGAGAAACUUUACUUGAAAAAAUGUUAGCGGAUGCAUCAUCAAAUGCCGAGAAAAGUGGGACUGUGCCUUGCUUGUCUGGAAAAGAUGCAUUUCUUUUGUAUGAUACUUUUGGAUUUCCAGUGGAGUUAACCACAGAAAUUGCUGAAGAACAAGGCAUUACUGUAGAUAUGAAUGGUUUUGAUAUAGAGAUGGAAAACCAAAGGCGCCUGUCUCGAGCUGCACACAAUGUUGUUAAACUUGCAGUUGAAGAUGGUACUAAUCUUACGAAUAAUAUAAACAAAACUGAAUUUGUUGGAUAUGAUACCCUUUCUACUCAAGCAGUAGUAGAAAGCCUCAUGGUGAAUGGGAGUCCUGUGAUACAGGUUUCUGAAGGAAAUGAUAUAGAGGUUUUGUUGAACAAAACACCAUUUUAUGCUGAAUCCGGUGGUCAAAUUGGAGAUCAUGGUUUUCUUUAUGUUACCGGAGGUGAAAAGCAACAAACAGCUGUUGUCGAGAUCAAGGAUGUUCAAAAAUCCUUAGGUGACUUAUUUAUUCAUAAAGGGACUAUCAAAGAGGGGGUUCUGGAAGUUGGCAGAGAAGUAGAAGCUGCCGUGGAUGCAAAACUGAGACAGCGGGCAAAGGUACUAGCUUAAUGCUUAAUUGUGGCUUUAUUUUUGUGUUAAUUGAUUUGGUCGUUUCAUCUAACAUAAACUAUCUUAAGAUGUUUUUUGUUCUUCUUCUUUCAGGUACAUCAUACGGCUACUCAUUUGUUACAAGCCGCACUUAAGAAAUUAAUUAGCCAGGAAAUAUCACAAGCUGGUUCCUUAGUGGCUUUUGAUCGUCUCAGGUUUGAUUUCAACUAUGGUCAUGCCCUUACUGACACUCAAAUUGAAGAGAUUGAGCAACUGAUCAAUGGUUGGAUUGAGGCUUCAACAUCUCUUAAAACAAAAGUAAUGCCCCUUAAUGAUGCGAAAGAAGCUGGUGCCAUCGCAAUGUUUGGGGAAAAAUAUGGCGAGCAGGUAUGUAUUUAUUCUUCAUUAUACCAACUGACAUUAUCCAUGCUUUGUUUAGCUUGUCUUGUGUUUGGGUUCAUUGUACUUUUUGUUAAACUAGCAAAACAAAUUAAACUUUGAAUCAUUUUCGGUUCAUUCUUUAGACAAUUGCUUGCCACUAUAUCCUAGCAUUCUCUUUCUCACUAUGAUGUCUGAGCUAGAAACUUGAAUGUUUAUGUGCUCCGUGUCUGUUCUUGCUCAUAUAAAUAGUUCUUCCUAAUUUUAUAAUGCAUUGCAGGUAAGAGUUGUGGAAGUUCCUGGUGUAUCCAUGGAACUUUGUGGUGGGACCCAUGUCAGCAAUACUUCUGAAAUACGGGUCUUCAAAAUAAUCUCCGAGCAAGGGAUUGCAUCAGGAGUCAGGCGUAUAGAAGCUGUUGCUGGUGAAGCAUUUAUUGAAUAUAUCAAUGUCAGGGAAUCACAAAUGAAGAAUCUAUGCUCCAUGCUCAAGGUGAGUUCUCUUUUUAUGCUUUUAACUUGAAACCUUCUCCCAAUGUACUUCAUCGUAAAAGAUUAAAGCCCAUGCAAAAAACUGAUCUGAUCUUGAAACGACAACAAGAAGCUUGGGUAUGGCUUUUGGGUAUAGCUUGGCUAUUCUGAUCUUCUCUCUUAUCAUGUAGAGCUUCUCUGUUUUGGAAAAUGCUUGACUCGGCUGAACCUCUGAUUUUAAUGUUAUUUAACUUCAUCUUUGCAGGUGAAAGCUGAAGAAGUGACUACCAGGGUAGAAAAACUCUUAGAGGAGUUAAGAAUGUCAAGAACUGAAGUUGCUAAUUUGCGUACAAAAGCAGCCGAAUAUAAAGCACUAAUGAUUGCAAACAAAGCAUUUGAAGUAGGAACUUCACAAACGAUAAGGUAAUGUGUAAUAUUGUUUCAAAGAUAUCAAAUUUUGCUAUUUAAUGGAACUCAUUUCUGACUUUUGUUCUUUGGCUUCUGAACAUUUAACUCCAGGGUGCUAGUUGAGUCAUUGGAUGAUGUGGAUGCUGAUUCACUAAAAGCUGCUGCCGAGAAUUUAAUCGAUACACUGCAAGAUCCUGCAGCUGUAAUCUUAGGCUCCUGUCCAGAUGAAGGGAAAGUUAGUUUAGUUGCUGCCUUCACACCAGCCGUGGUUGAUCUUGGGAUACAGGCGGGGAAGUUUAUAGGCCCCAUAGCUAAACUGUGUGGUGGAGGAGGUGGUGGCAGACCAAAUUUUGCUCAAGCAGGUGGGAGGAAACCAGAGAAUCUGCCGAGUGCCCUUGAAAAGGCACGGGAAGAUAUCAUCUCAAUUCUGUCCCAAAAAACAAGCUGAAAUACUAACUUUUUACAUGGUCAAAUUACCUUCAAAAAGAUCAAAUGCUAGGAUUCUGUGUCGAUAAGUGCUUAAAUAUUUCAGAGGCCAAUGAGAAUGCCCUUGUAUAUGAUCAAUGGACUGGAAGGAAAAGACUGUACAGGUAAUUUUACAUUCUUUUUAAAGAUGAAUACCAUAGCCAAAAUUAAGUGGUUCAUAGGAGAAUAUUGGUUCCCUUUAUUAAAUUACUUGAAUAGUUUAGCUAAUGCUAGGGUAAGUGAUAAGUUGCACUAUCAUUGAUGUUCAUAGGCUGUCAGCCCUAUUUUUGUUUUUAUACUAUCUUUGGCAUUCCACUUUCAUGCCUUAAUUCUGCAUUCUUUUUCUGGUUAAAGUAGGCUCUGCGCCUCUGCCUAAUACAAAUUUUUCAAGCGAAGUUACAAUUGAAUACUGUCUAGCUUUCUACGUGUAGCUGUCUUUGCACCAUCAUCAAGCACUAUGUCUUGCAAUGUGUACUUUAAAUUUGUUUUGUAUUGAUAUUGGUAUCUACAUGUUUUGGAGGUAAAAGUAUUAUGGAGGUCUCUGUAUUAGGGUCAAAUUGUAUUUUGUUUCAUCUACUUAAAAAAAGAUAAAUUAACCCCUAUAAAUUACUUCAAAAAACAAACCGGUCAUUUUUGUUAAAGUUUAAAUCUAAUUUUGCUGUUUAAAACUGAUAUGGCCAAGUGUAUUUUAUUUUGACUUAUAUGAAUCAAUUUUUAAUAGUAAAAAUGAAUGAAUUUUUAAUAGAAAUAUUAGUUUGCGCUUUAAUUUAAUAUACAUAGAUUAAUUUACUCAUUUUUUGUAAAGAUGAAAAAUGUAAUUUAACUCUUAAUAUAGAAGCCUUUAUGAUACUUUCACCAUGUUUUAGACUGUAAUAAUCAUGUCAUCAAAAAAAAAAGCAAAAUGAAGAAAAAUGAAAGAAAGAGAAGACAAUAGCCAUUGAUGGUUUUCAAUGAUCUUAUGAUUAAGUAGCCAUAUUAUCUUGUUUGGUUAGCUGGGUUCCACCAAAAGGGACCCCAAAACACCAGCCAACUUAACUACACACAAUGGUUUUUAUUUUAUGACGCAUGUAGAAAUAAACUACCGGUUGCUGUGGUCAAAUCCCAUAUUCAUUGUUACAUAAUUUAAGUGAAACAUUGAAUGGUACAAACGGAUAAAAGCAUCAAGUUUCAGGCAGCUGGAUAAAGCAUGAUGGUAAGUCCACAUCAGAAUCCAUUGAUCCACGUUAUGAUGCCACAGGCAUACGUUUUGUUUACAUAUUGGAUGAUUAAAAGUCAGCAGGCAGUGAAUACACUUCAUUAUUUCUAUAGUGGAACAAUGAUACUUGAAUUUUAUAGCUUUGAAAAACAGGGAAGAAGAAGGGAGAAUUUUGGGGCACUAAGCUGAGGAAAAUUGAUUGAUUGAUUUGAUCUCAUCAAAGUAAAAAAAUGCCAAAAUUUGGUACAAGUUUCGGAUUGUGUUUUCUCUAAUUUAUUAAAAAAAUGAAUAAAUUAAUACAUAUAUAUUAAAUUAAAGAACAAAUAAAUUAUUCAGUUAAAAAUACAAUGUAAAUGAAAAAAAAUUAAUUUAUUCUUUAAUUUAAUUUACCUAAAUUAAUUUAAAAAAAACGCAAUUUGCCAAAACUUUCACUUAUAUAUCAAUCAAUCCCACUGUCUGAAAACUCAACAAAGUUAUGUCCUAUUUAAAACUACACAAAUCUUCAAGUUCAUACUUCUUACAGCUACAAGGCACAGCUGUUUAGACAUAGACAAAGAGUCGGUGACAAAAUUCAUUAUUGUUUUCAUCUUUUUUUAGUUUCCGCGUUUGAGCAAAUACAAGUCCUUUUCCUUGUAUUCAAAUCCGAAAAAAGGAUUUUCUUUAAAGUAUAGAAAAUCAAUCCAUGGUUUUCCGGAAAUGCUUACCUGUAGUCCACCACACUAUAAAUAAAACUCAUCAACCCUAUCUUUCUUUACUUGUCACUUACAUUUCUCAAUUCAACAAAAAAUAUGGCUCAGCCUCACUUUCUUUGCAUGUUAUUGUUCCUUGUCUUGUCUUCAGCUACUGCUUGUGAUCGAUGCGUGCACCAAUCCAAGGCUUCUUAUUUCUCCGACGCCGCUGCAUCAUGUAACUUGCUGCCAAGUUCCUCCUCCUUGAUUAAUACCCAGACUUGUUUUCUUACAUGAAAAUGGAUUUUGACAAAGACCCAGAUCAUAUUUUUGUGAAAAAAACUGUGGGUAACAUUUGUUUUAUGGCUUUGAUAUUUGUAGCUGGAGCUUGUGGAUAUGGUUCCUUAGCAUUAACCAUUAGCGGUGGCCACCUUGCAGCUGGUGUUUCUUCGCUUCACAAACAAGGAGCUGGUUGUGGUGCUUGCUUUCAGGUUUUGUAUACAUUUAUUAUUGUUUUCUUUUUAAUUCUUAUAAUGGAAAAUUGAGGUUUGAGUCUUUAACAUUGGCAGAUAAGGUGUAAGGAUUCAAAACUGUGUAGCAGUGAAGGAACAAAGGUGACGCUAACUGAUCUUAAUCACAAUAACCAAACAGACUUUGUUCUUACUAGCAGAGCUUUCAUGGCCAUGGCUAACAAGGGCAAGGGUCAAGACGUUUUGAAACUUGGGAUUGUGGACGUGGAAUAUAAAAGGUAAGCUUGAUUCAAACAUAAAAUAAUGAAAAAGGUCAGAACCAACUUAACAUAUAUAAUGGGGCACACUAAUGGCUAACGGUUCAAUAUCUUCUUUAUAUUCCUUUGGGUAAACUACACUAGUAUCACCCAACUAUUAAUAUUUUUUUGGGUCACCUAAUUAUUAGUAAAUUUAUUGUUUGGUCACCAACUAUGAAAUAUUACGAAAUGAUAACUCAAUUAUUCAAUUUUGUCUUUUUUGGUCACUCAUUGGUUAAUUAUGGCAGCUUUUAAAAUAGGCAUUAUAGCAACUUUAAUUUUUAACAUUUAUACAUUGUGUCAAUUUAGUCUUAAUUUUAAAAAAUCUAACCCAUACACAUUGUGUAAUUUAGUCUUUAUUGCAGUUUUGCUUUUAUUUGUGAACCUUUCAACUAAAAAAAAAAUUUUUGAUUGAAAGUAUACAAAAAAUAGAAACACAAAAAAAUCCAACAUAAUAUUGAAUAGUUUAAUAACUAUUUUGUAACUUUUUAUAAUUGGGUGAGUACCGGUAUUAGUUUACCCUAUUCCUUUUCCAUGCAUGUUGAACUUGCUAUUGAUUCUGGUGAUGUGAAAUUAACAGGAUGCCUUGUGAAUACAAAAACCAGAACUUGGCAAUUAGAGUUGAAGAAUCAAGCCAAAAACCAUAUUACUUGGCUAUUAAACUGCUAUACCAAGGUGGCCAGACAGAAAUAGUAGCCAUUGAUGUAGCUCAAGUUGGAUCAUCAAACUGGAUUUUCAUGACUAGGAACUAUGGGGCAGUUUGGGAUACCAGUAGGGUCCCAAAUGGUGCCUUACAAUUCAGAUUUGUGGUGACAUCUGGGUACGAUGGGAAGUGGGUUUGGGCAAAAAAUGUGCUUCCAGCUGAUUGGAAAAUUGGGGUUAUUUAUGAUUCUGGGGUUCAAAUCACUGACAUUGCACAAGAAGGUUGCUCUCCUUGUGAUGAUGGGAAUUGGUGAUGAACAAGACCAAUAACAAGCAUUUUUAUAGGGGGCUAAACUCUGAUCCCUGGUUUCUGUAAAUAAAUAAAUAAACAAAGAAAUAAAAUUAACAUUUCAAGGUCUUAAAUAUAGUUUGAAUAAUAUUUUAUAAGAUUUAGUAAAAGAAUGUAUAAUGUGUUUUUUAUCAUUUAGUUUCUAUGAAGAUGUAUAAUAUAUAUUUUUUAUUCCACAAAAGAUUACUACCAAGCACUUUUUAGUUUGCGGUUGAAAUACGAGCUUACUUUCGAUGGCAGGAAAAGUGACUCUUGCUAAAUCGAUCCUCUUAGCGAUCCCUAAUUAUUUUAUGCAAACUGUCAGAAUUCCCUCGGAGGUUUGCAAUGAAAUUGAGAAGAACGUUAGGGGAUUUAUUUGGGGUUCUAGCAUUAAUAAGAGAAAAACGACGCUUGUCAAUUGAUCUUCUUGCUGCCAACCGCUUGCUAAUGGAGGCAUUGGGAUACGUAAACUUGAAAAAACAUAAUAAGUCCUUCCUUCUUAAAAUUGGUUUUAAUUUAUCGACUAACUUUGAUGCUCUAUGAGUACAGGUCUUGCGUACUAAAUGUAAAAUUACAAAUGUUUGUCUCGACACUAUCAAGAGGAGCUCGACUUCUUAUGUUUGGAAAUCUCUAACUCAUGUUUGGAGCUUCCUUUACAAAAUGUUUGCUGGUCUAUUGGUGAUGGUAAAGACACUCGUUUUUGGGAGAUGUUUGGGUCCCAGAUGUUGGCCCUUUGCGCGAGAUUUCGAAAGAUACUCAAGUAAGAGAUAUGGCCAGUGAGGAUGGUUGUUGGGUAUGGGAAUUAUUUGCAGAUCAAUUAGACUAUUCUACCAUCUUAAAAGUUACGGUUAUUAGACCUCCUAAUAAGGUUGCAGGGAGGGAUAUUUGUAUGGACAAAUUCUCUAUGACUGAAGCUUAUAAAGCAAUUGUGAAAGAUAGUUGGUCACCAUCUAAUGAUUUAUGGCAGAAAAUUUGGAAGCUUAAAUGCCCGCAAAGAAUCAAACACUUCUUGUGGCUGGUUUUGAUAGAUAGACUUCUCACUAAUAGUGAGAGGUGUCGAAGAGGUUCGGACUUCAAUCCUACUUGCUUACUUUGUGGACACUACAAUGAGACUAUCAUCCAUAUUAUUAGAAACUGUCCCUUUGCUUGAGUUAUUUGGACAAGACUUAUUCCUAAGAAGAGCCAUGAUGGGCAUUCGAUGGGUGCUGUCAAAGGAGUUGAACAAAGGGCCUUUGCUGGUGGAGUCAUCCGUGAUAGGCAUAGCAAUUGGAUAUAAGGUUACUACAGAAACAGUGGUAUAUGUUCAGCUCUUCAAGCAGAAAUAUGGUCUUAUUUUGGCCUGGAAAAGGGGUUUCAGAAAUUCUCUGUGCUGUAAAAAUGAAUGAGAUGGGAAUCAAGCAAAGCACCAUGGAACUGGCAUUUGAAGAAAAGUAAUAACUACAUAAAUUAUUUAGUCAAGCAAUGGAUCAAGGCAUAAAAGUUGAGCAUUUGAUAAAAAGGAAUAUACAUAUCAUAUGUGCAUCAUCCAGUACAUUUUAUAUAUAAAUUAUAAGGAUAUAAUAUUUUUUAAAUAAUCAACAAUAAAAUAAAAAUAUUAAAUAUAUAUUUAAAUUUGAAAAUAUUUCUUAGCAAAAAAAAUUGAAAAUAUUUAAUAAAAAAUAACUUAUUAUAAUUUAUAAUUUUUUGAAUCACUUCAAAUUAAAGUGAUUUUAUCUUUAUUUAGAAAAAAAUAAAAAUAUUAUAUAUUCAAAUAAUUACCCGAUAUAUAUAUAUAAUAGUUAUACAUGCAAGUAUAAUAAUUUAUUAACCACAUGAAUUAAUCUUCAAGUUUUAUUACUUAUUAAAUAAUUCUAUUAAAGAAAAAUAUAUUUUCUAUUAGUGUUACAUCAUAUAUCAUAACUGAAGAAUUUGCUUUUAACUCAUAAUUUUUUAUUAUAUAAAAUUGCAUUUUUUAUUAUAUAUCCGGGAUCGUUUGUUUGUUUUUAAAAUUUCAAUUGAUAUUUAUUGUUUUCUCUGUAUGGAUGCUGCAGAGAGACGUGAUCACAGUUUUUCUGAGUGUAGUUUUUCAAAGACUGUGUGGCAGUCAAUUUUGUGCCUUUAUUUGGGCGACAUUGAAACUUAAAGAAAGUCCUUACUUUUUGCUAUACUCAAACUUGCUUGGAGUGCAUAUUUGUAUGUGAUAUGGAGAUAGAGGAACAAGAAGUAUUUUGGUGCAUCUUUCUUGACUGAAGAUGCUAUCUUGGUACAAAUUAAAAAGAUUAUGCAGGCUAGUUUAAGAGGUAGGCCAAUCAAUAGAACUGGUCUUGUCAAUGCUUCACUUUAUGCUUUUUGGACAUUAUUGGUUAAUUUAUUUGUAUAGCUUUAAGUUACUGUGCAAUAUUUUUUAUUUUUUAUUUGUAACAGAUUAAUUGCAUUAUUAGAUUAAUGAAUUUCAUCAUUCAUCCAAAAAUAAUUACAUUUUUCAUGUGAUAUUUUUAAUUAUCAAUAUAUCAAAUUAUAUAUAGUGAUAUAAUCUGAAUUUUAUUAGAAAUAAUAUAAAAGUAAAAAAAAAUUAUACAAAAUCAUUUCACAUGCAAUAUUUUAAAGGUAAUUACUACAAAUAGAAAUAAAUUACUACAAAAUUUUUUUUAAAAAAAACUAAUCUAUAUAUAUAUAUUUGCAAACAUCUUAUUUAAAUUUUUUGGGGAAAAAAAGAAAUACCUUAGAAUGCAAAAAAAAAGAAAAAGAGUUUAUAUAAGGUUAGUAUCAUCAGUCGCUUUUUCUUGCUUAUGGACUUGAGUACUUAAACCAAGAUGAGCCAUAAUGAGAGCAACAUGAGUGAGCAGCUCGCUACCAUGCCUCAAUUGUUGUGCAUGUUGCUCCCAUGUGCAUCGACUUGCACCAUAAACCAUCAUCUCCAUCCAUACAUCACUUAUCAUUUUCCAUUUCUCUUCAUGAUCCCACCUCUCUGUUAUCAAGUCUUGUAAUUUCUUGGCAAACUGCACCCCUUCCCAUAACGCUCCAAAUUCGAGUUCUGGUAAUUGAGUAUUCAUAACGUCAGAGGACGGUAACCUUAGUGUUUCGAUGAAUUCCAUCAUUGCGGUCUGUUUCGAUUUCGGUUGAAGAAGGAUCCUUUGCGAUUGGUUGUAAGUGUCAUCGUUUACCCUGUCACUGAACCCCUUCGGCAGCAUUGUAGGACGGACCAAAAUAAGGUACAUCAUGUAAUCCGACAAGGAUUUGCCGAUCUUGCAUAUCGAACCGCAGCUGUACUUUCGAUGCUUGGAGAGAUCGUCGUAGUAAACGAUCGAGGUAGCGAUGUGCCAAAUAAAGAUCCGACGGGUGAAAUCCGUGGGUUCCAUUUUCCAGUCCUCAUUCACAAUCGGAUCCAAACCUUUCUUCUCGAGGAUGGCAUCACCUUUAUCCCCCAACAUCUUCUCGAGAUGCUUUGGAUUAAACUGUUCGCUUUCAAGCUCGGUACGCAUGUUUUUGAGGUGUUCAUAGAUGAAUUCUUUCAACUCGAUAUCCACGUCCUUCCACUCUGAAUACCAAAACCUCUGAAAAAGGUUAAUGAAGUCGAUGGACUUCAACGCCCGAGUAAUUUGGCUUGUCCUGGCCUUCAAGUAAUACCCCAAAAGAUCAUGUUGUGCCAUUCUCCGUAUUCCCUUCUUCGAUUUAAUCGAACGUAACUUUUUCUCCGCGAACCAAAGGUACAGCCUCUUGAGUUUGUUUUUAUGAUUUGCAUGCCACAUCAGCGUCCACUUGGACCGAAUGUACAUAUGGAACGAAGAGCUCUCAAGGAAAACUGCGCUGAACAGCAGCACGUAGGUGACGACGAAGUCGACCGUGUGAUCCUGGAACUUGUAAUAAAGAGCCGAGAAAGCUAUCAGCACAGAAAAAGCAGAGUAAAAGCAUAUGAAGCGAAGCACUAGGUUGCAAAUAUAGUGUUGAUGAUGUAGGGGGUUCUUGGUGAAGAGCAAAUCGUAAAGGAAUUUGUUAAGAAAUGGCUUAAAAUUGGUAGUGGAUUGUUGUUGUUGGUAGUGGGUUGUUGGUGGUAGUGGAUUAGUGGAUGGUUGUUGGUGUCCAUUUUCAACCACAAAUCUUUGCCAAAGUUUUGGACAAUUAUGUCCUUGAACUCUCUUAUAAAUAGAGAGGUUCAUUAGCCAUAUUCAUCAUCCCAAACCAAGAGAGAGCAAAGCUUGUUCUUUGAAAGCUAGGAUUUUAGCUUUCGGGUUUUCUAUAGGGGUUGAGAGUUGUGAGGUUCUCGGGUUGUGUCUUGAGUGUAAAACACUUGUAAUCUUCAUCUUGUUAUAGUGAAAUUUCUUUUCGCCUCUGCCCGUGGACGUAGGCAUUAAAGCCGAACCACGUAAAUCCUUGUGUUCACUUUAUUUUUCGUUUCGGUCAAUUUACUUGUAGUCAUAUCGGAGUUCUCGAAUCGAUCCUUUCCGCAACAAAUUGGUAUCAGAGCGUAGUUGAAGGAGUGAUAAUAUUUUCUGAAUUGCCCUGUGACUGCAGCUUUGUCUGAUCUUUCACAUCAGGAAGAAAAUAUUAUCAUUCAUUCAAAGGUUCCAAAUUAUGGCUACAAGUGUUUCAUCGACUAAGUAUGAUGUCGAGAAAUUUACCGGGAAAAAUAGUUUCAGUUUAUGGCGCAUCAAGAUGCGGGCAGUGCUGGUUCAACAAGGAUUGCUAAAAGCAUUGUCUGGUAAAGAUAAAUUACCAAGCACGCUUUCGGAAGAGCAAAAGGAUGACAUGCUAGAAAGAGCACAUAGUGCUAUUCUGCUAUGUCUAGGAGAUGAAGUGCUACGAGAAGUAGCGGAUGAGAAAACCGCGUCCGGUUUGUGGCUCCGGUUAGAGAGCAAGUACAUGACGAAGUCAUUGACGAACCGGCUCUACCUCAAGCAAAGACUCUAUGCCCUGAAGAUGGAGGAAGGUACACCUGUUUCCCAGCACCUGGAUAAAUUCAAUUCCAUUAUCAUGGAUUUGAAUAAUAUCGAUAACAAAAUCGAUGAUGAGGACCAAGCAAUAAUUGUUUUGUGUUCUUUGCCUCCCUCGUAUGAGAAUUUUGUUGAUACAAUGAUGUACGGUCGUGAUGACCUGACUCUAGAGGAGGUGAAAAAUGCCUUAAGUUCCAGUGAGUUGAGGAAGAAAAUCACUGGUAAGGUGGUCGAAAACAAUGAAGGCGAAGGCUUGGUUGCUCGAGGAAGAUCCAAGGCAAAGGGUGGAAGUUCAAGUAAAAGCCAUCCUAGAUCGCAGUCCAAGAAGAGAAUACAGUGCUACUACUGUAAGAAGUACGGGCACAUGAAGGUAGAUUGUCCGAAAAGGAAGGAGAAAUCAGAAUCACAGGAGCAACAAAAUGAUCGUGCGAAUGUAGCUGAUGCAGAUUCUUCAAGUGAUGCCGAGAUCGUUCUUGCAGUAUCCGACUCUUACGCUGGUGGGAGAUGGAUUCUUGAUACGGGAGCUACAUUUCAUAUAAGUACUUCGAAAGAUGCAUUCUCAACAUACGAGAAGCAUUCUGGUUCAGUACUAAUGGGAAAUGACCACGCAUGUCAAGUCAUGGGGAUUGGCACAGUUCGUAUAAAGAUGUUUGACGGUAUUGUUAGAACUCUAACUGAUGUUCGGCACAUUCCAGAAAUGAAGAAAAAUUUGAUCUCUUUGAGUACGUUGGACAAGAAAGGCUUUCGGUACUCUGCUGAAGGUGGAGUUCUCAAGGUAUUCUCGGGUGCUUUGACUGUGAUACGUGGUAAUUUGGAGCGGGGCCUUUACUUCCUCGAUGGUUCCUCGGUUACAGGUGUUGCGGGAGUGUCAUCAUCAGAUGAUCUAGAUUCUGACACCACGAAGUUAUGGCAUAUGCGGCUCGGGCAUAUGAGCGAGAGAGGCUUAUCGGUGCUAAGCAAACGAGGAUUAUUGUCUGGGCAGUGUACAGGAAAGUUGAAUUUCUGUGAGCACUGCGUCUUCGGUAAGCAGACUCGGGUAAAGUUCAGCACUGGGAUUCACAAGACAAAAGGCACAGUGGAUUACUUCCAUUCUGACCUUUGGGGGCCUUCUCCGACAAUUUCUAAAGGUGGUUACAGAUAUCUGCUUACCUUUAUCGAUGAUUACUCGAGAAAGGUUUGGGUGUAUUUUCUGAAGAGCAAGUAUGAGGUUCUCAUCAACUUCAAGCAAUUUAAAGCUUUGAUCGAAAAUCAAACAGGAAAGAAGAUCAAGCGAUUCCGGACGGAUAAUGGCUUGGAGUUUUGCUCAGGUGAAUUCAAUGAGUUCUGCAAAAAUGAAGGAAUAGUGAGACACCGCACUGUUCGUCGAACACCACAACAAAAUGGAGUUGCAGAACGCAUGAAUAGAACUCUCUUGGAGCGAGCUCGUUGCAUGCGAUCAAAUGCUGGGCUCGGUGAAGAAUUUUGGGCUGAAGCUGUUAAUACUGCUUGUUAUUUGGUUAACAGAUCUCCGUCAACAGCUAUUGAGCUGAAGACUCCUGAGGAAGUAUGGUCUGGUUCUCCUGCUGAUUACUCUGGUUUAAGAGUGUUUGGCUGCCCUGCGUAUGCUCAUGUAAAUGAGGGAAAACUCAAACCGAGGGCGAAGAAAUGCAUAUUUCUUGGAUACGGCCAAGGGGUGAAAGGAUACAGGUUGUGGUGUCCUGAUCCGGUUUCGUCCAAGUUCAUCAUCAGCAGAGAUGUGACUUUUGAUGAGUCAUCCAUGCUUCGAUCCACCACAAAUUCCCGGGAAAAGGAGGAGUCAGAUAGAAUGGGAGAUCACGGUGUUGAGAAGCAGGUGGAGUGUCAGGUGGACGCUCCAAUUCCUACGGAAGGUACUUCAGUCCAGGAUGAUCAAGUUGAGGUGCAAGAUUCCGAUGAAGAUGAGUCACCUCAAGAAAAACCAUAUAGCAUUGCCACUGGAAGAACGAAGAGACAAAUCAAACCAAAUCCGCGUUACGCUAAUCUGGUGUCUUUCGCGCUCAGUGUGGCGGAGUCCAUUGGUAUAGAACCUUCCAGUUAUAAUGAGGCUGUCACGUGUGAUGAGUCGGCACAGUGGGCAAUUGCUAUGAGUGAGGAGAUAGAAUCUCUUCACAAGAACCAUACUUGGGAGUUGGUUAAGCCGCCAAGUAACCAAAAGAUAGUUGGUUGCAAAUGGGUCUUCAAGAAAAAGGAAGGCAUCCUAGGGGUUGAAGCAACUAGAUUCAAGGCACGAUUGGUUGCUAAAGGCUUCACUCAGAAAGAGGGGAUUGACUACAAUGAAGUUUUCUCCCCAGUCGUAAAGCAUUCUUCCAUUCGUGUAUUACUUGCCAUGGUGGCCAAGUCUGAUCUAGAACUUGAGCAGCUUGACGUAAAAACGGCGUUCUUGCAUGGUGAGCUCGAGGAAACAAUCUACAUGCGUCAACCAGAGGGUUUUACAGUUCCUGGUAAAGAAGACCAUGUCUGUCUAUUAAAGAAGUCUUUAUAUGGAUUGAAACAAUCCCCAAGGCAGUGGUACAAGCGGUUUGAUAGCUUCAUGAUUCAGCAUGGUUACACAAGAUGUGACUAUGAUGCUUGUGUCUAUCAUCGGAAGCUCUCAGAUGGUUCGCACAUUUAUUUGUUGCUGUAUGUUGAUGACAUGUUAAUUGCUUCCAAAAACAUGUCGGAAAUCAACAAGUUAAAGUCGCAGUUGAGUGGUGAGUUCGAGAUGAAGGAUCUGGGUGCUGCCAAGAAAAUUUUGGGCAUGGAUAUUCACAGAGAUCGCAAGGCGGGCAAGCUUCGUGUGUCGCAGAAGAACUACAUUGAAAAGGUUCUUCAACGCUUCGGCAUGGAUAAAGCGAAAACUGUGAGUACUCCGUUGGCACCACAUUUCAAACUCUCUGCAGAGUUGUCACCACAAUCUGAUGAAGAAAAGCAGCAAAUGUCUCACAUUCCAUACUCGAGUGCAGUUGGAAGCGUGAUGUAUGCAAUGGUUUGCACUCGUCCAGACAUUUCACAUGCAGUUAGUGUGGUCAGCAGAUACAUGAGUUGUCCUGGCAAGGAACACUGGCAGGCCGUGAAAUGGAUUCUCAGGUACUUGAGAGGUUCUGCAGAUUUAUGCUUGGUAUAUGAUCAGAGUGACUGCACUAGCAGUGUCACGGGCUAUGUGGACUCUGAUUAUGCUGGAGAUCUGGACAAAAGAAGAUCUCUGACGGGUUAUGUUUUCACUUAUUCUGGAGGAGCCAUUAGUUGGAAAGCUGUGUUACAGUCUACCGUAGCCUUAUCUACGACUGAGGCGGAAUAUAUGGCGUUAGCAGAAGCAGUGAAAGAAGCAUUGUGGAUGAAAGGUCUAGUAAGCAGUUUGGGUUUACAACAGGAUUUCACUGUUGUAUUUUGCGAUAGCCAGAGUGCCAUACAUCUGACUAAAAAUCAGAUGUUUCAUGAACGGACCAAACACAUUGAUGUCAGAUAUCAUUUUGUUCGGGAACAUGUUACGCAAGGUGACAUUGUUAUCAGCAAGGUUGCUACCGAGAAGAAUCCUGCAGAUAUGUUAAUUAAGGUGAUCCCUGCAUAUAAGUUCAAGCAUUGCUUGGACUUGAUAGGUAUUCGGGAUUGAUUAGCGCCAGAGAGGCGUUUGGAAGAGGUGAUCCAGUUCGAGGAAUUCACUAUGAUGUUCAGCUUGGUAAAUUUCAAGCCAAGGUGGAGAUUUGUUAAGAAAUGGCUUAAAAUUGGUAGUGGAUUGUUGUUGUUGGUAGUGGGUUGUUGGUGGUAGUGGAUUAGUGGAUGGUUGUUGGUGUCCAUUUUCAACCACAAAUCUUUGCCAAAGUUUUGGACAAUUAUGUCCUUGAACUCUCUUAUAAAUAGAGAGGUUCAUUAGCCAUAUUCAUCAUCCCAAACCAAGAGAGAGCAAAGCUUGUUCUUUGAAAGCUAGGAUUUUAGCUUUCGGGUUUUCUAUAGGGGUUGAGAGUUGUGAGGUUCUCGGGUUGUGUCUUGAGUGUAAAACACUUGUAAUCUUCAUCUUGUUAUAGUGAAAUUUCUUUUCGCCUCUGCCCGUGGACGUAGGCAUUAAAGCCGAACCACGUAAAUCCUUGUGUUCACUUUAUUUUUCGUUUCGGUCAAUUUACUUGUAGUCAUAUCGGAGUUCUCGAAUCGAUCCUUUCCGCAACAGAAUUCGAGUUCGAUCUUAACGAAAUUGAAGGCCUCUGCUGCAUUGGUACAACGGUUGAGGUACACCAAUUCAUCGUAAAACUCCUUCGAAAUCUGGAACGGUAGAUCGGUGAAGAGAGGCUUGAGAAUUUCGAAAGAUGAAUGCACUUGCCGAAGAAACUUUACUUCUUCGGUAAUGGUCGGAUCUUCUAUAAACUUUUUCCUUCUCGAAAGAUCGUAAAGUCCUGUUCGGAUCAUUGUUUUCUUUUCGUUCCCAUCACUGCUGCUAUCACUCGGAUUUUUCGAACUCAGGGGUUCAUAAAAGGACUUCAUGAGCUGUUUCGGACUCGCACAUCUAAGAGCCCAUAUUCUUUCGAAAUACUUGAGAACUCCAGCAAUAAACAAAGGGACAGCCAUAGCGUUUAGUUCGGUGUCCGAUUGAAACCGGACGGAGAUAUAAAUCGCCUCUCCGAUCUGGAAGAACAUCCCAAGAAAGUGGCGCAACCAAAGCUCAUUAUCUUCCAGAGAGUAAGCGGUGAUAUUGUAAGGACCGCCGAGAUGCCAUAGAAGAAAAGGGGUCCAGAAGACAACGAGUCCUUUUUCCAGUCCAACACUGCCUCGAAGAAGGGUACUAAGCACAAGGGUUGCCAUCCAAUCUGCAGAAAGAUAUAUUAUCCAGGCACAGAUUGCAAUCAACGGAACCCGAGCUCCGGUAUAUUUCUUUCGCCUCUUCCCGAAAUGAAUGAGUAAAAACUGGAGACCAAGACUGAGGAGAACCAUCAAUCGAAGCUCCCAUUCGUUCCAAAAGUUAUUCACUAUUUGUGAGAAUACCCUCCUCAAUACUGUGCCCUUUAUCUCUACAUAAAGUAGAGAGACGACAACUGAAAAUUCAAAACCAUCCAUUAUUAUUUCUUUUUCAUUGUUACAAAAGGUUCGCAUAACAGGGUUUGAAUCUAUAUGAGCUUGAAUAAUUACAAAACAUUUCGAAAAGAAUUGAAUUGUCAUUUCUAAUGGGAAUACAAACUAAAAUGUUAAGGUAUUAGACAUUACAGCACGUAUGACAACCCACAUAUACUUUAUGUAUUUAAUUUCGAGUGUUUUUAUAACUCUGAAUUAUUUAUUGACCUGAUAUAUAAGAUAAAUAGAAUCAUACUAGUACGAAGUAUAUGUGAAGUGUGAAUAGCCACCAAAUAAUUUAAAAACUAUUUGAUUAUUUUUAAAAGUUUACUGUCCAAAUUUAACUAAAAAUAAUAAUAAAUAUCAAAUUGACAAAAGAUAUAAACGUUGAAAAUUAAAUAUACCAUUAUGCCAAAAAGAAAUAUCUUAACAAACUUUACGGAUAGUCAUCGAGAAGAUAACCAAUAUCCUAAUUGAGAAAGUUAUGCCCAAUACUUAUACCUAGAGGUGAUCAUGGGUCAAAUUCAGAGCAUGCAUUGUGUUAAUACUAUGGAUAGUUAUUCAAAUAUAAUCAUUUUUAUUUAAUAUUUAGGAAUUAUAUAUCUUCUACUAUUUGUAUAUACAUAGCUUUAGUAAGAUUUUAAAUAUAGAUAAUAAGUAGUAAGUUUUUUUUUUGUCAUCCAAUUAUAAAAAAUUACAAAAUAACUACUCAAUUUAUUGGGUUUAUCUUUUUUUAUCACCAACGGUUAAUUGAUGAACCAAAAGAUGACCAAAUAUGUUGAGUUAGUAUCAAAUUUUAAGGGUAAUAGUUUAUUGGUUACAAUAUGCUAUAAGUCCUACUUUUCGUAUAUUUGGAAUUCAAAUUUUUGUACUCUUUGUAUAUUUGAGAAUUUAACCAUUCUACUUUUAAAUUUUAAAAUUGUAAGUCCAAUUAUCAACACCGUAGUAAUUCUUCUAUUUAACUGAGAUUCAUUAUAAUUUCAUUUUUUUUGUUACAUGGCUACCAAGCGAGUAUUUUUAUUUGAAAAUGUUAUAUCAAUGAAUCUAACAGAAGAAUUUUAACAGUUAAUAUAGAGACUAAAUUCUAAAUACACAAAGAGUGCGAGAAUUUGAAGCAUAUUUUAACUACAUGGCUCGAGACCCUAUCAUCAAUCUAAAUACACCUUUCAUCACUAAAUACAUAUUGAGGAGAGGAGAUUAAUAUAUUAAUCAAUGAUAAGAGAGAAAUUAAAAUGAACAAAAUUUCACUACUAAUCAUAACAAUAGUAUAUACUUACUUGCAAAUAGCAUGGAUCACUGCUGUUUUCCAGAUCUUGACUGUAAAUAUUAUUGGAAAAAAAAUUCAUGGAAUUGAAGAUAGAUUGAAAGGGAAACUGUACAAGGAAAAAUCAUGCUUUGCUCCUUUAUAUUGAAACAUACAAAGGAGGCAAAGAACGUGUAAUACGUUGACAUGAAUAUUGUAGGCCAAGAAAAGAACUUUCACUGAAAACCCUAACAGUAGUGAAAAAAAAUUAUUCAUAUAUUCUUGGAGAAACAAAGACAAAAAGAUGUUUCCAAUUAAAAUUCUUGUUCCUGUCGGGUAAAAUGCAUGAGAGGGGAAUCAAGCAAAGCAGUGGGGAAUUGGCAUUUGAAGAAGAGUAAUAAGUACAUGAAUUAUUAGUAAAGCAAAGGAUCAAAGCAUAAAAGUUGAGCAUAUGGCUUUUUUCAAUGGAUUUAUAGCUAUUGGUUACUAGAUAAAGAGGUACAUUAAUAUAUAAAUUAUAUGAAUGUUUGCCAUUUUCAAUUUAUCAUCAAGCGAGUGAUUAUGCAUUAAGAUGCAUGAUUGGUUGGGUCAGAAGUGUUAUAAUAUACGUCUAUAAUGACAACAGUAAUGAUCACAAAACAAUAAGAAAGAAAAAUAAGAAUACGCCGCACAAAAGGAGAAAUUUACUAAUGUUGAAAACAACAAUACAAGAGGUUUACAUACACAGUUUUUAAGGGUUAAACAGUCCGUCUAAUAAAAGAAGUAUAGUUCUAUACGGAUUCAGCUUGUUCAACCCUCGGUCCUUCGCUCCCACAAAUCCCCAAUUUUGUCUCUCUAUUUUAUUUAUUUAACAAGUGAGUUGCACUUCAAACUUUUCAGACCGAAUCAAACGGGAUUCGGGUCACACAACUCUAACAAGAAGUAUAUAAUUUUUUUAUAUAUACAUUUUUUUUGUUGAUCAUAUAGGCAUCAUGCACAUGAUAACAUUAAGCUAACAUAUCCAGAAAAAUCUUAAAGGUUUACGUGGAGAAAAAGAGAAUGGAAUGUAAGUCUGAUCAUUAGAGUUUCUUCAUUGCUUUCAUUAAAAAUGUGUGUAAACACGUCCACAAAUGAAGCUUUGUGGAGAGCUUACAAUGUGUACGUGGCUUAUUUGAAUCAAUGAAGGACUUGUUAAGGCUACUUUUGUUUUCGUUUGAUUUAGAAUUGAGAAAGACUCGAAGAAGGUAAUUGGGUUGGAAAUAAGGGGUAUUUUAAAAGAAAUCUCACAUUAUCCCAAAUUACAAUGAGGUUUUGGUCAUGUGGUCAGUACAUGUGAAAUUCUGUUGCAUGUGUUUAAUUUCUGAAUUGUUUUAAUGUUCUAAUUUCCACUCAUUUUUCACUCAUAUUGCUCUCAGGUGUUUUAUUAAGCAUCAAAAUAUGAAUAUAAAGAAUUAUGAGUAUAUAAUUCACAAUUAACACCACAUAAUCACCCAAAAUAUGCACUAAAAAUGCGACUAAAAUAUAUUAUUUUUGACACUUAUCAGGUUUCAAGUUUAUAUAAAGAACUUAAAUCCUUAAUUUAAAAUGCGCCACUUGAAUUAUUCACUUUCUUACUUUCUCUCUCGUUGAUGAAUAUUUUCUUCAGAUAUCGUUAUUUCUUCUUUUAUUUUUUAAUAAAAAUAAUCUACAAAGCUUAAUUUUUAACUUUUGUAUUUGGAUGGGGGCUUGGAAACAAUGCCCCAUAGAAGUUGUUCUAGAAGAUGUCCCUUUAAAUGCUUGGUUUGAAAAUGUUUUCAAAAGGGUUGGGUGGUGUUGCGGAAAGGAUCGAUUCGAGAACUCCGAUAUGACUACAAGUAAAUUGACCGAAACGAAAAAUAAAGUGAACACAAGGAUUUACGUGGUUCGGCUUUAAUGCCUACGUCCACGGGCAGAGGCGAAAAGAAAUUUCACUAUAACAAGAUGAAGAUUACAAGUGUUUUACACUCAAGACACAACCCGAGAACCUCACAACUCUCAACCCCUAUAGAAAACCCGAAAGCUAAAAUCCUAGCUUUCAAAGAACAAGCUUUGCUCUCUCUUGGUUUGGGAUGAUAAAUAUGGCUAAUGAACCUCUCUAUUUAUAAGAGAGUUCAAGGACAUAAUUGUCCAAAACUUUGGCAAAGAUUUGUGGUUGAAAAUGGACACCAACAACCAUCCACUAAUCCACUACCACCAACAACCCACUACCAACAACAACAAUCCACUACCAAUUUUAAGCCAUUUCUUAACAAAUCUCCACCUUGGCUUGAAAUUUACCAAGCUGAACAUCAUAGUGAAUUCCUCGAACUGGAUCACCUCUUCCAAACGCCUCUCUGGCGCUAAUCAAUCCCGAAUACCUAUCAAGUCCAAGCAAUGCUUGAACUUAUAUGCAGGGAUCACCUUAGUUAACAUAUCUGCAGGAUUCUUCUCGGUAGCAACCUUGCUGAUAACAAUGUCACCUUGCGUAACAUGUUCCCGAACAAAAUGAUAUCUGACAUCAAUGUGUUUGGUCCUUUCAUGAAACAUCUGAUUUUUAGUCAGAUGUAUGGCACUCUGGCUAUCGCAAAAUACAACAGUGAAAUCCUGUUGUAAACCCAAACUGCUUACUAGACCUUUCAUCCACAAUGCUUCUUUCACUGCUUCUGCUAACGCCAUAUAUUCCGCCUCAGUCGUAGAUAAGGCUACGGUAGACUGUAACACAGCUUUCCAACUAAUGGCUCCUCCAGAAUAAGUGAAAACAUAACCCGUCAGAGAUCUUCUUUUGUCCAGAUCUCCAGCAUAAUCAGAGUCCACAUAGCCCGUGACACUGCUAGUGCAGUCACUCUGAUCAUAUACCAAGCAUAAAUCUGCAGAACCUCUCAAGUACCUGAGAAUCCAUUUCACGGCCUGCCAGUGUUCCUUGCCAGGACAACUCAUGUAUCUGCUGACCACACUAACUGCAUGUGAAAUGUCUGGACGAGUGCAAACCAUUGCAUACAUCACGCUUCCAACUGCACUCGAGUAUGGAAUGUGAGACAUUUGCUGCUUUUCUUCAUCAGAUUGUGGUGACAACUCUGCAGAGAGUUUGAAAUGUGGUGCCAACGGAGUACUCACAGUUUUCGCUUUAUCCAUGCCGAAGCGUUGAAGAACCUUUUCAAUGUAGUUCUUCUGCGACACACGAAGCUUGCCCGCCUUGCGAUCUCUGUGAAUAUCCAUGCCCAAAAUUUUCUUGGCAGCACCCAGAUCCUUCAUCUCGAACUCACCACUCAACUGCGACUUUAACUUGUUGAUUUCCGACAUGUUUUUGGAAGCAAUUAACAUGUCAUCAACAUACAGCAACAAAUAAAUGUGCGAACCAUCUGAGAGCUUCCGAUGAUAGACACAAGCAUCAUAGUCACAUCUUGUGUAACCAUGCUGAAUCAUGAAGCUAUCAAACCGCUUGUACCACUGCCUUGGGGAUUGUUUCAAUCCAUAUAAAGACUUCUUUAAUAGACAGACAUGGUCUUCUUUACCAGGAACUGUAAAACCCUCUGGUUGACGCAUGUAGAUUGUUUCCUCGAGCUCACCAUGCAAGAACGCCGUUUUUACGUCAAGCUGCUCAAGUUCUAGAUCAGACUUGGCCACCAUGGCAAGUAAUACACGAAUGGAAGAAUGCUUUACUACUGGGGAGAAAACUUCAUUGUAGUCAAUCCCCUCUUUCUGAGUGAAGCCUUUAGCAACCAAUCGUGCCUUGAAUCUAGUUGCUUCAACCCCUAGGAUGCCUUCCUUUUUCUUGAAGACCCAUUUGCAACCAACUAUCUUCUGGUUACUUGGCGGCUUAACCAACUCCCAAGUAUGGUUCUUGUGAAGAGAUUCUAUCUCCUCACUCAUAGCAAUUGCCCACUGUGCCGACUCAUCACACGUGACAGCCUCAUUAUAACUGGAAGGUUCUAUACCAAUGGACUCCGCCACACUGAGCGCGAAAGACACCAGAUUAGCGUAACGCGGAUUUGGUUUGAUUUGUCUCUUCGUUCUUCCAGUGGCAAUGCUAUAUGGUUUUUCUUGAGGUGACUCAUCUUCAUCGGAAUCUUGCACCUCAACUUGAUCAUCCUGGACUGAAGUACCUUCCGUAGGAAUUGGAGCGUCCACCUGACACUCCACCUGCUUCUCAACACCGUGAUCUCCCAUUCUAUCUGACUCCUCCUUUUCCCGGGAAUUUGUGGUGGAUCGAAGCAUGGAUGACUCAUCAAAAGUCACAUCUCUGCUGAUGAUGAACUUGGACGAAACCGGAUCAGGACACCACAACCUGUAUCCUUUCACCCCUUGGCCGUAUCCAAGAAAUAUGCAUUUCUUCGCCCUCGGUUUGAGUUUUCCCUCAUUUACAUGAGCAUACGCAGGGCAGCCAAACACUCUUAAACCAGAGUAAUCAGCAGGAGAACCAGACCAUACUUCCUCAGGAGUCUUCAGCUCAAUAGCUGUUGACGGAGAUCUGUUAACCAAAUAACAAGCAGUAUUAACAGCUUCAGCCCAAAAUUCUUCACCGAGCCCAGCAUUUGAUCGCAUGCAACGAGCUCGCUCCAAGAGAGUUCUAUUCAUGCGUUCUGCAACUCCAUUUUGUUGUGGUGUUCGACGAACAGUGCGGUGUCUCACUAUUCCUUCAUUUUUGCAGAACUCAUUGAAUUCACCUGAGCAAAACUCCAAGCCAUUAUCCGUCCGGAAUCGCUUGAUCUUCUUUCCUGUUUGAUUUUCGAUCAAAGCUUUAAAUUGCUUGAAGUUGAUGAGAACCUCAUACUUGCUCUUCAGAAAAUACACCCAAACCUUUCUCGAGUAAUCAUCGAUAAAGGUAAGCAGAUAUCUGUAACCACCUUUAGAAAUUGUCGGAGAAGGCCCCCAAAGGUCAGAAUGGAAGUAAUCCACUGUGCCUUUUGUCUUGUGAAUCCCAGUGCUGAACUUUACCCGAGUCUGCUUACCGAAGACGCAGUGCUCACAGAAAUUCAACUUUCCUGUACACUGCCCAGACAAUAAUCCUCGUUUGCUUAGCACCGAUAAGCCUCUCUCGCUCAUAUGCCCGAGCCGCAUAUGCCAUAACUUCGUGGUGUCAGAAUCUAGAUCAUCUGAUGAUGACACUCCCGCAACACCUGUAACCGAGGAACCAUCGAGGAAGUAAAGGCCCCGCUCCAAAUUACCACGUAUCACAGUCAAAGCACCCGAGAAUACCUUGAGAACUCCACCUUCAGCAGAGUACCGAAAGCCUUUCUUGUCCAACGUACUCAAAGAGAUCAAAUUUUUCUUCAUUUCUGGAAUGUGCCGAACAUCAGUUAGAGUUCUAACAAUACCGUCAAACAUCUUUAUACGAACUGUGCCAAUCCCCAUGACUUGACAUGCGUGGUCAUUUCCCAUUAGUACUGAACCAGAAUGCUUCUCGUAUGUUGAGAAUGCAUCUUUCGAAGUACUUAUAUGAAAUGUAGCUCCCGUAUCAAGAAUCCAUCUCCCACCAGCGUAAGAGUCGGAUACUGCAAGAACGAUCUCGGCAUCACUUGAAGAAUCUGCAUCAGCUACAUUCGCACGAUCAUUUUGUUGCUCCUGUGAUUCUGAUUUCUCCUUCCUUUUCGGACAAUCUACCUUCAUGUGCCCGUACUUCUUACAGUAGUAGCACUGUAUUCUCUUCUUGGACUGCGAUCUAGGAUGGCUUUUACUUGAACUUCCACCCUUUGCCUUGGAUCUUCCUCGAGCAACCAAGCCUUCGCCUUCAUUGUUUUCGACCACCUUACCAGUGAUUUUCUUCCUCAACUCACUGGAACUUAAGGCAUUUUUCACCUCCUCUAGAGUCAGGUCAUCACGACCGUACAUCAUUGUAUCAACAAAAUUCUCAUACGAGGGAGGCAAAGAACACAAAACAAUUAUUGCUUGGUCCUCAUCAUCGAUUUUGUUAUCGAUAUUAUUCAAAUCCAUGAUAAUGGAAUUGAAUUUAUCCAGGUGCUGGGAAACAGGUGUACCUUCCUCCAUCUUCAGGGCAUAGAGUCUUUGCUUGAGGUAGAGCCGGUUCGUCAAUGACUUCGUCAUGUACUUGCUCUCUAACCGGAGCCACAAACCGGACGCGGUUUUCUCAUCCGCUACUUCUCGUAGCACUUCAUCUCCUAGACAUAGCAGAAUAGCACUAUGUGCUCUUUCUAGCAUGUCAUCCUUUUGCUCUUCCGAAAGCGUGCUUGGUAAUUUAUCUUUACCAGACAAUGCUUUUAGCAAUCCUUGUUGAACCAGCACUGCCCGCAUCUUGAUGCGCCAUAAACUGAAACUAUUUUUCCCGGUAAAUUUCUCGACAUCAUACUUAGUCGAUGAAACACUUGUAGCCAUAAUUUGGAACCUUUGAAUGAAUGAUAAUAUUUUCUUCCUGAUGUGAAAGAUCAGACAAAGCUGCAGUCACAGGGCAAUUCAGAAAAUAUUAUCACUCCUUCAACUACGCUCUGAUACCAAUUUGUUGCGGAAAGGAUCGAUUCGAGAACUCCGAUAUGACUACAAGUAAAUUGACCGAAACGAAAAAUAAAGUGAACACAAGGAUUUACGUGGUUCGGCUUUAAUGCCUACGUCCACGGGCAGAGGCGAAAAGAAAUUUCACUAUAACAAGAUGAAGAUUACAAGUGUUUUACACUCAAGACACAACCCGAGAACCUCACAACUCUCAACCCCUAUAGAAAACCCGAAAGCUAAAAUCCUAGCUUUCAAAGAACAAGCUUUGCUCUCUCUUGGUUUGGGAUGAUAAAUAUGGCUAAUGAACCUCUCUAUUUAUAAGAGAGUUCAAGGACAUAAUUGUCCAAAACUUUGGCAAAGAUUUGUGGUUGAAAAUGGACACCAACAACCAUCCACUAAUCCACUACCACCAACAACCCACUACCAACAACAACAAUCCACUACCAAUUUUAAGCCAUUUCUUAACAGGUGGUAAGUGGGGCAAGUUUGUGAUGCUCGAUGGACACUUACUAGUAACAAAGAAAGAUUUGACAUUGCUAGGAUGACUUUAAAAUAGUUUUUUGCACUUUUCACUUUUCACAUAGAUGCGUUGUGAGUGAAUAUAUUUUCGAAAAUUUCUUAAGAACAAGCGCAUGUCUUGUGAUGGUAGCUUAGUUUUUAUAUUUUUCAAUUUUCAUUGAAAUACGAUUUCAAGAUGCUGCCGAUUGAGUCUUAGCUCAAUUGGUAUACGCAUUAUUAUUAAUGCAGGAGGAUGUGAGUUCGAGAGUGCUAAAGUGCACUACCCUAUUAUACAAAUUUGAUGCUGGUAAUGACAAGAUGAUGGAUGUCUUUCAUAUCAAAGUUUCAGAGGUUAGGUUCAAUAAAUCUCUGAGGGCUCAUCCUAAUGCAUUUAUUUAAUAAUGAAUUAUUUUGCCUUAUACCAUAACAUAUUUUAUCUAUAAUUGAUACAUUUCAAUUAAAUUUUCAAAAGAUAUGAUUAAGAUGUUUUACUUUCGACAUAAUAGUUUAAUAUAACUAAAAGUAAAAAUAUCCAAAAAUUGAAUUUUUUCAAAAUUUUAAAAUGAAUUCAACUCAAAUAAAUAAUACAUUUUUCUAUAAAAUUUUGAAAUUUUAAGCUAGAUAUAAUAAAAAUACACGUAGAGAUGCAUUUUGUACUUUCAUAAGAAUAAUAUGGAGAAGGAUCUGAUUACCGUAUACAUUUAUAAUAUUUGGAAAGGUCUAUGGACGUUGUUCCGGUAAAGAAGAAUAAGAGUGGAAGAAGGUUUGGUUUCGUGAGGUUUGACAAAAUGGGGGACGCACGAAAGGAUAUCAACAGGUUAAACGGUUUUGUGAUUUUAGGGUACAAGAUAUCGGUAUACAUGACAAGAUUCAAGGGAAGGAGUCAAAUUGGGAGAUCAGUUCCAUUUAUAGGGAAAUCAAGGCAGAAUGUCGUAAACCAUAAAGAAGGGGAGGCAAGUGGAAAGAAAGCGAUGGAUAUCGGAUUGGAGUUAGGAGAAACAUCUAACAGAAGUAGGGGCGAUUUGAGUAUGAUAGGAGUUAGGGAUAGUAAAGGGAAAAAUCAAGAUAAACUGAUCAAGGGGCAUGUCGACGAUGAACAACUCUGGAAGCUCCAGAAAUGUUUGGUGGGAGAAACUUUAACCACAUACAUAAUUUAGAGAUAUACGUAAUCCAAUAAGAUCACCCAAAUAUUGACUUUAAAAUUAGAGAAACAUACACAUUUUAGGAAAAUAAUUUCAUGGAAUUGUACAGGGAAAAAUCAUGCUUUGCAGUUUGCUCCUUUAUAUUGAAACCUACAAAGGACAAAGAACGUGUAUACUGUUGACAUGAAUAUUAGAUUCCUACAGACAAAGAAAAGAAAUUUCGAAGACAACCUUUAAAAGUGAAAAUUUCCUUGAAAUUAUGGAAGAAACAAUAGAAAAAGAUGUUUCCAAUUAAAAUUCUUUGCUCUGUAUGUCUUAUUGUUUUAGAACUUGAAUUUUUCACCAAAUGAAGCCUUUUUUUUCUUUUUUGAUGCAAGGUAAAAUGAAUUGGGGGGGGGGGAGGUCAAGCAAAGCAGUACAUGAAUUACCAGUGAAGCAAUGGAUCAAGGAAUAAAAAUUGAGCAUAUGUCAUUUUCCAAUGAAACCCUUUUUUAUAGCUAUGAAUUACUUUAUAUUAUAUGAAUCUUUGCAAUUUCAAAAAUAAAUAAAAAAUGAAUUUAUUAUCCAGAGAUUGGUAUUAAUGCUAAGUUUGGUUAUUUAGAGCAUUAACACACAAAAAAUGCAAUUAUUACAUAAAUAUUUUAUUAAAACAUGCAACAUAUUGGGAAAAACAAAAAGCUCAGCCAACUUGUGAGUAAAGGAGUGUCCACAAUUUACCAUUUUAGAUUGAUCCAUAUGUGUGAUUGUGGAUUAUACCUCGUACUUUCUGAUGAAACAGAGUCAAUGCCGUUACGGGAAGAGUCGACGUCCCGAUGACACGACACUUGAUGUCCCGACGAGGCGGCAUACGACAUCACGACAUGUUCUCACAUAAAUCUAAUGUUUUUUCUUUUAAUUAAACUUUGAUUAUUUUUCUUAGUCAAACUAUGAUUAAUUUAGGAUAUUUUAGUCAUAUUUGACCUAUGAAUUUGGCCUAUAAAAGGUCUUAGCAACCCUAGAAUAAAAGACACAACAUAACACAAUUAAGAAAUAGCUUUAACAGAACUUUAAGAGAAUUUUGUGUUUUAGUGGAAGGUUUUGUAUUCAGGAUUCAAAUUUUGUUUUUUAUUAUCUUCAUCUUGUACUUUUCAAAUUACUUUCUCAUUAAUGAAGUCUUCUUUUACUCGUGAUUUUUUAUUCUCUUGAUUUGAGGAGUUUUUCUACAUAAAUAUUUGUGUGUUUGAUCUUCUCUACUCUUUCUAAUUCAUUGCUUAUACGAGUCGAUCCCCAACAAUAACUAUGAUUAACUAACCGGUUAUUAUUUCCAGAUCUAUGCUAGAAAUCUCAAGGCAAUGUUGGAAAAAAGAUAACAUUAAGGAAGAGAAAACUCGCAAGUUAAGCAUUCAUCAGACUUUCUUUAACAGUUGCAAAAUUGAAUUCAAGUAUUUGAAUGGUUGAUGUUUAAACUGUGGGAUGGUGUUUUCAUAUCUAUGCAGAAAUCUCUUUUUUAUUGUUUAAUUUUUUUUGCGAAACAACUUUAAAUGUUAAGAAUUUAUAAAUCAAAAUUCAAAUUAUUUUAUUUUAUUUUAUUUUAUUUUAUUUUAUUUCUGACACUGACCGUUAGAUCGUCUUGCACCUCGAAACAAGCUUGGACAAGUAUUUUUGCACCUUGAGUUAGCCCGAAUUCAAUUUAAAUAAUAAAAAAACAUUUUAAAUUUAAAUUUAAUUAUAAAAAUCUAUAAAAUAUUAAUUAAAAAAUCUUUUUUAUUAUUUUAUUAUUUUUAAAUAAUGAUUAGAGCUUUAAUUUACAUGAUUAGGCAAAGUGUGUUGAUACCAUGCCUCAAUUGCUGUGCAUGCUUCUCCCAUAUGCAUCGACUUGCAGCAUGAACCGUCAUCUGCAUCCACCUUUCGCUUAUCAUUUUCCAUUUAUCCUCAUUAUCCCAUCUCUCUUCGCUUACCAACAUUUGUAUUUGCGCCCCCCCCCCCCCAAAAAAAAAAAAAACUUGAUCCCAUCCCAAAACGCCCCAAAUUCAGAAAAACUAGUAGGAACCACGGAGCUGUGAGAAGACAAUGACCCUAGUGUUUCAGCGAAUACCUUCAUCGCGGUCUGUUUUGUUUUUGCUUGAAUAACUAUUCUCUUGGUUUGGCUGUCGGUCUCAUCGUUUACCUUACCACCGAACCCCUUUGGCCGCAUGGUUGGACGGACCAAAACGAGGUACAUCAUGUAAUCGGACAAAGAUUUGCCUAUCCGCGGUAUUGAUCCAUUGCGGCUCUUCAAUGCUUUGAGAUGACACAGUAAAUAAAAUUGUCACUCAACUAUUUUGGUGGUCCAACUAUUUUAGAUUUUUUUGUAUUUUUAUAUUUACAUUAGCCGACUGGUGAUAAAAAUAAAAAAAAUUAAAUUAAAUAGUUGGGUGAUCACUUUUUGCAACUUUUCAUAGAAGAAAUUUAUUGAUAAUUAAGUGAUCAUUUUGUAAUUUUUUAUAAUAAGGAAAACAAAAUUAUGGUACAUAGGUGACCUCUAUUAUAGUUUACCCAAUUAAAAAUAAAAAGUUUUACUACUAAUACUUACUAGUGACUAGCAUCGACCACAGCUGCUUUUCAGUGAACUUAUGAAAUACGUAAAUCCCAAAUGAUCAACCCCAAAUCUUUACUUUACAUUUUAGGAGACUUUCUAGGAAAAUAAUUUCAUGCAAUUGAAGAUAGAUGAAAGGGAAAAGGCAUGCUUUGCUCCUUUAUAUUGAAGCAUACAAAGGGCAAAGAAGGUGUAUAAUGUUGACAUGAACAUUAAAUUCCGACAGAAAAAGAAAAGAAUUUUCACAGGCAAUCUUAAAUACUGAAAAUUUCCUUAAAAUUCUUUGUGCUGUAGAAGACAAAGUGUGUUAUUGUUUUUCUUUUUUGCUGUUGGGUAAAAUGCAUGAGUGGGGCAUCAAGCAAAGCAGUAGGGACUUGGCUUUUGAAGAAGAGUAAAUAACUACAUCAAUUAUUCGUAAAGCAAUGGAUCAAGGCAUAAAAAUUGAGCAUAUGCCAUUUUCCAAUGAAACCCUUUUUUUAUUUAAUGGUAGCAUUAUUUAAGAAUUUAUUAUCAAAAAGAUUGGCACUUAGGCUUUUAUAUAUUAGCAUUAUGUGUUUCAACGUUUGAAUUUGUUGUAUUUUGAUUGUUUUUUUAAUUUUAUUUCUUGCGCCACCUAAUUCUGUCCAGGUUCCUGUUUAGGUCACCUAAAUUUAAUUAUUUUUAAUUUAAACAUUAAUGUUUAAUUCCGUUUUUGUUUGUUUUGGUCACUUUAUUUUUUUUUUGAAAACAAGGGUGGUUUUUUUUUGCAUAAAUAUGCUAUUUUUCAAGGUAAAGCUGGUGCCCCUAAGUCUCUUGAGAACAGUCCUCGGAAGACCUUAUCAUGAUAGAGCACAAUGAUGUUGCUUGUAAAAUUGAAAUCCGAGAUGAGAAGGAGGAUGCAUGAGCCAUCUGAGACUGGACCUUUUUUACAUCAAUGAUGCGGUGGAUCUCUUGAGGUUCUUAAUAGUGAUUCCUUAAUUGACCAAAAUUCAUCGUCAGGUAGGCCUGGUUACGACAAGGCUAAGAUGCAAAUUUUAGCAAUUUUAUCAAGGUGAAACAUCUCCCGUUCAUUUCUGAAUUCUUCUAGUGUUGUGGUUAUUGUUGGUUUGUCUUUCUCCACUUUGGUGAUUAUUUUGCAAACUUAGCAUUUGGGUAUCAGUUUGUAGUGUUUUUAUUUAUCAUUUGUACUAUGUGUCGUAUCUUUGUAUUCUUAUUGUUCACAGUUCCUAUUAAUAGAAGUAUUUUCUUUAAAAAAUGCUCCAAAUCUUUCUACUCUUCAUACAUAUGGAAUUUAAUCCCCUACUUUCUUUUCAAAGAAUUUAGUCCCUCUACUUUUCAAAUUUUAAAAUAUAAGUCCAAUUAUUAACACCAUUAAAAUUUUCCAGCAAAUUUAAACCCAUUACAUCAUUAUUUUUCUUUUCUAUCAAAUGAGUAUUUAUUUAUUUCAAAAUGACACAUCAGUGAAUAUAAUAAAAAAUUUUAAUUUAAUGGUGUUAACCAUUGGACUUGAAGAUAAAACUUGAAUAAUGAAUUUAUUACCCAAGUCGACCUUGAAAAUAAAAAGCAUCAAACAUAGUAUUAUAACCUUGAAUCAAUUGCAUUUUUUUAGGUGAAGUAUAUUUCGCAAUUACAAAUAAUUUGUAUAAUUACAAUUAGACUUAAUUACUAUAAUACUCAAACGAAAUCAUAAUUACAAUCAAUACAUUUAGAUAACUACAAUUAAGAUCAAAUUAUUAAAUAAAAAAUUAGCUAAUAAUUAAAAUAUAAUUGGAUUUAGAUUAAAAUAAAUUUAGAUAAAAUUUAAUUAGCAGUAAUGAAAAUCAAAUCGAUACACUUAAAAUCAUAAAAGAAAAAGUUUAAAAAGGGGUGGGAAAUGCAGAAGCAAUAGGAUGAUCAGCUGAUUUUUCAAGCCUUUGGACUUGAGUAGUUAAACCAAGAUGAGCCAUAAUAAGAGCAACAUGAGUGAGUAGCUCACCACCAUGCCUCAAUUGUUGUGCAUGUUCCUCCCAUGUGCAUCGACUUGCACCAUAGACCAUCAUCUCCAUCCACACUUCGCUUAUCAUUUUCCACUUCUCCUCGUGAUCCCACCUCUCUUCACGAACCAAGCUUUGUAAUUGCUUCGCAAAUUUGAUUCCAUCCCAUAAUGCCCCAUUUUCAGAAAAUUUAUUAAACCCAAAGGACAGUAAUGCUUCAUUGAAUUCCUCCAUGGAAACUUUCAUCUUUUUCUUCGGAGAUAUUCUCUGGGUUUGUUGGUAAGUUUCUUUGUUCACUAUGUCACUGAACCCUUUCGGCAGCAUUGUAGGUCGAACCAAUACCAGAUACAUCAUGUAAUCGGACAAAGAUUUGCUGAUUUUACAAACCGGAUUGAACAACGUGCUCCUCCGAUGCUUCGAGAGAUCGUUGUAAUAAACGAGGGAGGUAGCGAUGUGCCACACGAAGAUUUGACGGGGGAAAUCUGUGGUUUUCAAUUUCCAAUACUCAUCCUUCUCAUCUGGAUCAAAGCCUUUCUCUUGGAGAACAUUGUCACCUCUCUCCGCCAAAAUCUUCUCCAGGCACUCAAGCUUAAACCGACCUUUUUCGAACUUGGAACGCUUCUCGUUCAGGUGAUUAUAGAUGAACUUCUUUAACUCGAUAUCAACUUCCUUCCACUUCGUGUACCAAAACUUCUGCAAAAGGUCACCGGGGUCAAUAAACUUUAAGAUCUGAGCAAAUUGGCUUGCCUUGGCCUUCACGCAAUACUCUAAAAAAUCAUGUUGUGCCAUUUUUUGUAUUCCCUCCUGCGACUUGAUCAAAUGUAACCUGUUUUGAACAAGCCGAUAGUAUAGCUUAAGCCUUUUGUGUCCUCUAACAGCGUACCUGAGAAUCGUCCACUUGGAACGAAUGUGCAUGUAAAACGAAUAGCUCUCGAGCCAAACCGCUCCUAACAGCAGCGUGUAGGUGACGACAACAUCAACGGUCGAAUCUUCGAUCUUGCGAUAGAGAACUGAAAAAGCUAUCAGCACUGAAAGAAGAGAGAAAAAACAGAUGCAACGAAGAGCUAAGCUCACAAUAUGGUGUCUGUGUUGUAGGGGGUUCUUGGUGUAGAGCAAAUCGUAAAGGAAUUCGAGUUCGAUCUUGACAAAAUUGAAGGCCUCGGCUGCUGUCCUUGUACUAGGAUUGAGGUAGACCAUUUCAUCGUGAAAUGCUUUCGAGAUCUGAAACGGGAGAUCAGUAAACAGAGGCUUGAAAACUUCAAACGCUGAGUCUACCUCCCGAAGAAACCUUACUUCCGAAGUAAUCCUUGGAUCUCCUAUAAAACCUCUCUUUUCCGAAGGAUCAAAAAGGCCGGUUCGGAUCAUUUCUCUCAUUUCACUUCUAGCAGCACUGUCGCUAGUGCUCGGAUUUUCCUUUUUCGGGGAAGAGUAAAAGUACUUCAUGAGCUGCUUCGGAUUUGCACAUCUAAGAGCCCAUAUCCUUUCCAGAAACUUUAAAACUCCCCCAAUGAACAACGGAAUAGCCAUAGCAUUUAGCGUGGUAUUCGAUCGAAACCGCACAUAAAUAUAAAUCGCCUCGCCGAUUUGGAAGAACAUUCCAAGAAAGUGGCGCAACCAAAGCUCAUUGUCUUCCAAAGAGUAAGCAGUGAUAUUGUAAGGGCUGCCGAGAUGCCAUAGAAGAAAAGGGGUCCAAAAGACAAUGAGUCCUUCUUUUAAUUCGGAGCUGCCUCGAAGAAGGGUACUAAGCACAAGGGUCGCCAUCCAAUCUGCUGAGAAAUAUAUUAGCCAAGCAAUUACUGCUAUCAAUGGCACCCAGUUUCCAGUAUAUUUCUUUCGUUUCCUCCCGAAAUAAACAAGAAGAAAUUGAAGAAUAAGACUCAACAUAACCAUAGAACGAAGCUCCCAUUUACUCCAAAAUUUUUUGACAAUUUCAGAGAACACCCUCUUCAAGACUGAGUCCUUAAUCUCUACAUAAAGUAGAGAGAUGGCAACUGAAAAUUAAAAAUCUCAAUUAGCUUAGAUAAAAUAAGGAAAAAAAAGUUCAUUGAAAAGAUAUUCAAUUUAAUAGUUAAACAAAUUCCUUUCUCCAAUUAUCGAAUUAAGUCAUAUUAGUUGAUUCUAUAGAAACAAACUUUCGAGUUUGAAUGAAAAACCUACGAUGCGUAACACAACCAAUAUUAUAAACAUCUGGUUUAAAACAAGCAGCUGGAUCAUAAAAUACCCUUUAUAGACAGCAAAGAAAAUAAAAUACAUACAUUGAGGAUGUUAAUAAAUUAAUGAAUGCUAAGUGAGAAAUUAAAAUGAACAAAUUUUACUACUAAUCAUCACAGCAAUAUAUGCUUACUUGCAAAUAGCAUCGCUCAACUGCUAUUUUCCAGUAAAUUUCAACAAAUAUCUAAUCCAAUACCAUCCACCCCAUAUCUUGACUGUAAAUUUGGAGAAACAUACAUUCUUUUAGGAAGCUUUCUUGGAAAAUAAUUUCAUGGAAUUGAAGAUAGUUGAAAGAGGGGAAUUAUAUGAGGAAAGAAAACCAUGCAUUGAUCCUUUAUAUUGAAACAUACAAAGGGCAAAGAACGUGUAAAAUGUGGGCAUGAUUCAUGAAUAUUGUAAGGCAAAGUCCCAUAGCCCAAGCAAAGAAUUUUCACCAUAACACUGAAAAUGUUCUUUAUUAUAUUCUUGGAGGAAGAAGAGAAAAAGAUGUUUCCCGAUAAAAGAUAAUUUCUUGUACCGUGGAAAAACAAAGUUAUAAGGCAGUGUUUUAUUGAUUUAAAACUUGAAAUUUUACCAAAUAAAGGGAAAUAUUUACAUGUUUUAUGUUAUUCAAAAAGCAUGAGAGUGGAAUCAAAGCAAAGCAAUAGGAAAAUGGCAUUUGAAGAGGAAUGGAUCAAGGACUACCCGUAGCCCCUCCCUAACCCUUAAAUAGGAGGAUAAUGUGCUUCAGCGCACUCAAACCCACGUUCUCUUAUACUGACAACAAUAUCGAUAUCAAUCAAGCUAAGACCCAAUCAACAAAAGAGCUAUAUAUUUUAUAAAUAUUUGCAAUUUAAAAAAAAUGAAACUUUAUAAUUAUUAUCAUUAAGCUUAAUUAGUUGUAUCAUAAAAAGAAUUAUUAAACUUAUUCAUCAAUCUAGUUGGAUUGCAGUUUGAAAAUUUUUUAUUUUUUUUUUAUUUUUGUCGAGUUAAAGUUUUUUUUUAAUAAAUUAAUAUAUUUGAUUUAUCCUACAAUGCACUACAACAAAUUAGUGGUUGACAAUGUGAAAAAUCAUCUAUACAAAAUUUCAAUCUUCCCUAAGUUGCACAAAUUCUAAUAUCACCACAUGCAUGGUCCUUUCUAAUUUUCUCUCCAAUUAGCCUCAACGUGAUUACAUCCCUUAUUCUUGAUAAACAUUCCUAUUCAAUUCUUGAACUACUUGCAAUUCCCUUCCUUCCAAUUCUAGUAAAUCACAACAUGCCAAGCAAGCCUUGAGACAAUGGAACUCAAAGUUUUACCUUUGAUUUUAGUUAAUUACUACCCAAUAUUACAACUCAUAUGUCCAAUGCCUUGCAAACCUUUUUAUUGAGCAAAGUCUCAAAACCCCCUUUGAAUGCCUUUGAGUAAACUCAAAAAAAAAAAGUGAUCUCUUCUCUCCAAAUAUGAAGAGUACUAUCAAUUUGCAUACUCAGGUCUAGCCAACUUCUUGUCAUUUGUUAGGAAUUGCCAUCCAAGGUAUCGCUAAUGCUACGUUUGGCAAAAGUAUUAGUUUUCAUCAUGUUUUAGUAUAUGAGUUAACAAUAAACUAAUUUCAAUCAAUAAUUUUUAGCCACUCACAUGACUUGUUUUGGAAAAAAAGGAGGAAACUUUUUCACUAUUUCAAGUUUAAAAGUGCAUUAACUAGUCUUUAUUUUAUGCCAAACUAUCAUGAUAAUAUAUAUAUGUACACACGUAAUAAAUAAGAUUUUUCCGUGAAUAACCAAACGAGUAGUACUCUUCAAUUUUCAAAGCUGCCCUAGCUGAGGGAGGUGUUCUAUUGUAUCCUUUUACCAAUUCUUGAGUCAAUAGUAUCUAUAAUAUUGUGCCCAUUAACAAAUGGACUCUACUUCCUUGCCAUGAUGUUAGGUAGAUGUUUGGCCAAGCCUCUUUACUAGCACUCUAGUGAUGCACUUGUAAAUGAAUGAACAAAAGCUAUGGGUCAAUCUUCUUUAGCGCUACUGGCAUUAGAAUUCUUUGGCAUCGAAACUACCAUGGUUGAAUUGAAAGCUAGGGUUAGCUUCCUUAUCUAGAAAAAAUGUCAUCCUAGAUUUUUGUCCAAAGGAAAUUUCCUCAGCUUCCAUUAAUUAGAAAACCCAAUCAAACUGAUAAUUAAAAUAUAUUUGGACCUGCAUUAAAAUAAUUCUAAACUUGGCCUACUCAUGAUUUACCCAAUGUGAGACUUGAGUCUUGGGUCACAAAAUUCUCAAGACCUCAACCUCACUAUUAAACUAAAAUCCCAUUGACAUUUAACUUUUAAAUAAAGAGUUAAUUGCACUAGACAUCCCCAAAUUAUGACCCUCAUUAUAAAUUUGUCUCUAAAUUUCAAAAUAUUCUAAUUACAUCUCUAAACUAUUGAUGCUUUAUCACUUAAGUCUUUCCAUUAUUAAAAUCAUUAGUUUAAAUAUUAAAUGAAACAACAGAUCUUACAUGGCAUAAUUUAAAAUGAAAAUUUUAAAGAAAAGUGAAACAUUGAUGCAGAACUUUUAAAAGUAAAAACCAAAAAUAAAAUAAAACCAAGAAAAGAGAGAGUAGAUGAUAAAGCUUUUGUCAAGGCUUUGAAAACCUCAAACCAAUAUUUUUACAACAUCCAUUUUCAUAAUAUCCAUUUUUCUUAUUUUCAUUUUAAAUUCUGUCAGAUGAAAUAUAACAUCUAAUUUAACGGCCAAAUUAACGAUUUUAGUAACAAAAUAAACUUAUUUAUAUAACAUUGACGGUUUAAAGAUGUGAUUAAAAUGGUUUAAAGUUUGCGGAUAUCUAGUGUAAUUAACUCUUAAAAAGAUAAACUCAAUCUCUCAUUCAACAUACAAUCUCAAUUGAGUAUAAUUCUACAAAUCAAAAGGAUACAAAUAUAACCCAAAAAAUAAUAAUAAUAAUUUAGAGGUUUUCUUUUAAAUAUUUAAACUUUGCCCAUUCAAAUUUUUUUUAUUGGACAUUAAUCUCAUUAUAGGUUCUUAUUAUAUCUACUCUUUUUGGUAUAAUGUCUAGAACUACCCAUAGCUUCUAUCCAACCAUUAAAUAGGAGGAUAAUAUGCUUCAAUAAACUCGAACUUACGUCCUCCUGCAUUGACAACAAUACUAAUUCCAAUUGAGCUAAGAUUCAAUCAACUUGUCUUUUCAAAUUUAAAACCCAAAGUUUGAAACAUAAAAAUAUUUUGUCCAUUCAAAUUUAAGCAUGCAAAUGGUCAUUGUAUUCACAUUAACAUGUAAAUUUUAGACCAUUGAAAAUCUUUUCUUUUUUUCUUUUAAGUGUCAUCUUAUAUAACGAAUUAAUCCUUGUGGAUCUAGGUGGUCAAUUUUCAAGGGUCAUCAUCGUUGUUCAACAAGUCCUUGUUCAAAGUCCUUAUGCAAAGACCGUUCACCCCGAUUAAGUUAAUUGGUUACUUGUAUAUUCAAUUGAUUAUUGCAUCAGUAGGAAAUUACAUGUUGUAAUUAUGUUUUGGAUUCAUACAUAGUUUUGUUCACAUUUUGGUCCGUCAGUUUAACAAAUUCGGUCCAAAUUAGGACUGAGCUUGAAAUAAAUCCUUGAUAAUUCCGUUCAAAUCCGGCUUCCAAUUAUUAUUUAAAUAAUAAAAAUAUUUUAUUUGAAAUAUAAUUUUUAAAUAUAUAUGUAACACCCCUUAACCCCGAACCGUCGCCGGAACAGAAUUACGAGGCAUUACCGGACGUAUCGAACGAUUUACAACAAUUCUUAAAUAAAUAACCAAUAUAUUAAAAUAAUUCAUAAAAUUUAUUAGUUUGUUUACCAAAUGACUUCAUUUUUUUUUAUAAAAAUUUCGGCAGCAUUUCUGCUUAUUUUUACAUAAAACCCCCUGUAAAUUAAAACCAUAUAGUUCCCAAAUAUCACCAAUUCAACCAAUUCAUUUCACAUUCACAUUUUCUAUUCUAAAUACUUCUAAUCAAACUCAAUCUACACAAUAUCAAUUUAAAAUUUAACAAUGUACUAAUUAGAUAAAAUAGAUAGACUUCUUUCAUUAAAAUCCAUAAACUUUUAAUACUAACAUUUUUAACCAUUAUAUAAUAAAACAUAAUAACCUUUAUACACAAUCUAUGUACAUGCCACCUUUACCAAAGGAAAAAUACAUCACCAAGUUUUGCCGAAGCCGGGAUUAAUCUGGAUGCUGAACCGGGACCUUUGACUUCUAUUGACCUGCGCACGGAAACAACCGUACGCUGAGUAAUUCAUACUCAGUGGUAUUACCAUAAUUCAAAUUAUAACAAUAAUGUACAUGUAAUGCAUAAAUCGUAUAUACAAUUUAAAUUAAAUAUUUCAACAAUAGCAAUUCAUCAACCAAUAUCGUAUAUCCACAAUUUGAGUUUGAAUAAUUCACGAACCUUAGGUUCAUUUCUCAAUCUCAUUUCACAUUUCAAUUCACAAUUCAACUUUUUCAUAUCAUUUCAAUAGCUCGUUUGACCAACUCGUUCGGUUUAUCAUUUCAUCAUUUACCCUAUUAACAAAACUCGGACUUUGGCGGAUACACGGAUCCAACCAAACACACCAGAAUGGCACCCAGUGCCUCAUCGGAUAGUUCGAAGCAAUAGUUGACACCCAGUGUCUCAUCGGCAAAGCCGAAGAAAGUUGGUACCCAGUACCUCAUCGAAUCUAUCCGAAGAAAUAUAGUGACACCCAGUGUCUCAUCGACUCGAGGUCGAAGUAUCCCUGAACUCUUCCAAUCCUAUGGCAUGCCAACUAUAUCCGACUCAGCCCGACUAGUUAAUAGGGUAUUUAAAUCACAUAUAUUCUCAAUUCAAUUACAAUUUUUCACAUUUUCAAUUCAAUCAUUUUUCCACCUUUCAAUCAAUAAUUAUUUCACAACUUCACACAUUUUCACAACUCAAUACAUUUCCAUACAAUUUAAUACCAUUCACAAUUCGAUUCAAAUUCAUUUCCCGCUUUCAAUCAACAAACAAUUCAAAUAUUAUUUCAUAUCAACUAUUCAAUUUAAUUCCCACUCAUAAUAAUAAUAAUAAUACUAAUAAUAAUACUAAUACUAAUAUUAAUACUUACCUCACAUUUCAUUUACUAGACACAUAAAUUAAAAUUUAACAUUUAAAAAUAAAUAAUUUGAAUUAUAGUAAUACAAACCGUUAUUCUCCCGUUUUAGUCCUCGAUAACUUUCUCCUUUCCUUUUGACGCCGAUGCCUCGGGUUCUUUGUUAGCUACGAAAAUAAUAAUUUGUAAUAUUAAUUACAGCACUAAUUAUAAUAAAUAAUUGAAUUUCUAUUCAAUUUCUUCCUAAUUCUCAAUUGAAUCCUAACUAAAUUCACUUACUUUCCUAAUUCAAUUCACACUCUAUUUCUAUUCAAAUUUCAUCCAAACUAAAAUUUAACUAUCAAAAUUUCAGCAUAUUUUGCUAAUUUCGAAUUUCCCUCAAUUUAGUCCCUAAAACAUAAAACUUAUAGUUUCUUUUACAAUUUAAUCCCUUUUUCAAUUCUAACUUAAAAUUCCUUCAAGUUAAUCCCUAAUUCAUCUCUUUUGUUCAACAUAAACUAUACUUGAAAACCUAUGAACUUACAAAAUAUCAACUUAAUUCCAUCAAAACUUUGUUUUAAAGCUUUUAGAACAUUAGAAUUAAGAGAAAAGGGCUAAUUUGACUUACCAAUUUAAAUUUCAAGCUUCAAAAACCCUAUUUUCCCUUUUUUCUUCUUUUUCUUCUUUCUCCCCUGUUUCUCCCCUGUUUCGUCUCUUCUAUUCUGUUUCUUUCCUUUCUUUUGCUUUGUUUUUAUUUCUUUUUAUUUCAUUUACUUUAUAUUAUAUUAAUUAAUUAUAAGUAUUACAAAUGUAUGUAUUUUAUUAGUACUCUUGCAUUAAUUCAUCACCAUACACUUGUCUCAAUCUAACUAAUUUAUCAAUAAAAAUCUCAUAAUAUUAUUAUUUAAUUAACAAUUAUCUUUUACUUAAUUUUCAAGUAAAUAAAUAAAUGUAAUACACUUGUAUUUUAUUUUUACCACACACUUGGCAAAAUCAUAAUUUAUUAUUACCCAAAAAUCUUAUACUAAUUAUUUAAUUAUUAAAUAUCUUUUAAUUUAAUAAUAACUAAUAACUAAUAAUAAAUAAUAAAUAUCUUAUACUAAUUAAUAAGCAAAUUAAAUCUAUAAACUACAAAUAUAUACAUACUUUAAUUACACAUGUAUUACUUUAUCAUGUCUUUAUUUUAAUUUAUUUAAUAAUAAUAGUAAUAAUAUAUUUAAUAUUUUAUAAUUAAUUGUCAUAAAAAUCUAAGAUUUUUAUGCACAUUUGCCGCCUCAUGUAAUAAAAUAGGCUUAAUUACCUAUUUGGUCCCUUAUGAUUUCUUUUAAUCUAUAAUUAUGCUUUCACUCUUUAUUCAAUUUAAUCCUUUUUACUAAUUACUCAUAAUUGAACUAAAUUCACCUAUCUAAAACUUAAUUAAACACACAACUAGUCUCGUAAAUAUUUCUAAUAAUUAUUUUCGGACUCAAUUUACUAGGACGGAGGCCCGAUAUUAUACUUUUCCGAUGCCCAUGAAUUUUGGGUCAUUACAUUUCUCCCCCUCUUAAUAAAUUUCGUCCUCGAAAUUUACCUGAGAAGAGAUGAGGAUAUUGUGCUCUCAUUGUCUCUUCCGGUUCCCAAGUUGCUUCUUCCACACUAUGGCUUCUCCAUAAAACUUUUACUAAAGGAACCCGUUUAUUUCUUAAUUCUUUCACUUCUCGUGCUAAUAUUUGAACUAGUUCUUCUUCAUAAGUUAAAUCAGAUCGAAGUUCAAUGUCUUCAGUGGGAAUAACAUGAGAAGGAUCCGAUCUAUAUCUCCGAAGCAUCGAAACAUGAAAAACAUCAUGAAUUUUUUUGUAACUCUGGAGGUAAGGCUAAUCGAUAAGCAACAGGCCCAAUUCUUUCCACUAUCUCAUACGGCCCAAUAAAGCGCGGACUUAAUUUUCCCUUCCGACCAAAUCUCAAAAUUUUCUUCCACGGCGAUACUUUGAGGAAUACCUUAUCACCAACGGAAUAUUCAAUGUCUCGUCGUUUCAAGUCUGCGUAAGAUUUCUGUCUGUCGAAAGCGGCUUUCAGUCUAUCUUUAAUCUUUUUAACUGUUUCUUCUGUCUCUUGAAUCAAUUCCGGCCCAAUCACUUUUCUUUCUCUUAAUUCUGUCCAACAUAUUGGUGAUCGACACCUUCGACCAUAAAGUGCUUCAUACGGAGCCAUUUGAAUACUAGAUUGGAAACUAUUAUUAUAAAAAAACUCGGCCAAUGGUAAAUAACGUUCCCAACCUGAUUCAAAAUCAAUGACACAAGCUCGAAGCAUAUCUUCUAAUAUCUGAAUUACUCGUUCAGAUUGUCCAUCAGUUUGAGGAUGAAAAGCUAUACUGAAACUAAGUCGAGUACCCAAUGAUUCAUGCAGCUGCUUCCAAAAUCUCGAAGUGAAUCGAGGAUCUCUGUCUGAAAUUAUUGAUACCGGAAUACCAUGUAAUCUAACAAUUUCUCGAAUAUAAACCUCGGCAAGCUUCUGUAAUGACCAGUCGGUUCUAACUGCUAUAAAAUGAGCUAAUUUUGUGAGUCGAUCAACAAUCACCCAAAUAACAUUCUUUUUACUCACUGACAAUGGCAACCCCGUAACAAAAUCCAUGGUAAUGUGAUCCCAUUUCCACUCGGGAAUAGUAAUAGACUGUAACAGGCCUGUUGGUACCUGAUGUUCUGCUUUUACCCGCUGACAAGUCAAGCAUUUACUGACAUAUUCAACUAUAUCUUUCUUCAUUCCUGGCCACCAAUACAGUUCUCGUAGAUCACGAUACAUCUUCGUUCCUCCUGGGUGCAAAGCAAAAAUACUAUCAUGUGCUUCUCGGAGAAUCAAUUCUUUAAUCUCAGAAGUAGAUGGAACACAAAUUCGAUUCCGAAAUCUCAAACAAUCAUGCUCGUCAAUACUAAAAUUUUCUACCGCACCAUACUGUACCAUUUCUCUUUUCCUCAUCAACUUUUCAUCUUUUAACUGUGCUGCUCUGAUUUGAUCAAACAUCACCGGCUUGACUCUUAACUCAGCUAACAAACUUCCAUCAUCCUUAAUACUAAGUCGAGCGAACAUUGCCCGUAAUUCAACCGCUGCUUUUCUACUCAAUGCAUCUGCUACCACAUUUGCCUUCCCUGGAUGAUAAUCUAUAACACAAUCAUAAUCUUUCAGAAGUUCAAUCCACCGUCUCUGUCUCAGAUUCAACUCCUUUUGUGACAGAAGAUAUUUAAGACUUUUAUGAUCAGUGUAAAUAUAACAUUUCUCACCAUACAAGUAAUGUCUCCAAAUCUUCAAUGCAAAGAUUACAGCAGCUAACUCUAAAUCGUGCGUCGGGUAGUUGCGUUCAUGUGACUUCAACUGUCGAGAUACAUAAGCUAUUACUUUUCCUUCUUGCAUCAAUACACAACCCAAACCAUUCAAAGAAGCAUCACUGUACACUAUGAAAUCUUUCCCUGAUUCUGGUAAAGUUAAAACUGGUGCCUCUGUCAACAUUUGUUUCAAUGUUUCAAAGCUCCUCUGACACUGAUCAUCCCAGAUAAAUGGAACAUUCUUCUGUAGUAAUUUGGUCAUCGGCAAAGCUAUCUUCGAAAACCCAUUUACAAAUCUUCUGUAAUACCCAGCCAAACCAAGAAAACUGCGUACCUCUGAUACAUUCUUUGGUGCCUUCCAUUGAACAAUUGCCUCGAUCUUCUUCGGAUCAACUCUAAUCCCAUCCGCAGAUACAGCAUGUCCCAAGAAUACUACAUCUGAUAACCAGAAUUCACAUUUACUUAGUUUCUCGUACAACUGUUUUUCUCGCAGAAUCUGUAGCAUGGUUCUGAGAUGCUGAUCAUGCUCUGACUCUGACUUCGAAUAAACCAAGAUGUCAUCAAUAAAAACCACCACAAACUGAUCUAAAUACGGCUGAAAAAUUCGAUUCAUUAGAUCCAUAAAAGCAGUUGAAGCAUUAGUCAACCCGAACGGUAUCACCAAAAAUUCAUAAUGACCAUAUCGAGUACGAAAUGCAGUCUUCGGAACAUCACUUUCUUUUACCUUCAGCUGAUAAUACCCAGAUCUUAAGUCAAUCUUUGAAAAUACUGAAGCUCCUUUUAGUUGAUCAAAUAAAUCAUCUAUACGGGGUAACAGAUACCGGUUCUUGAUCGUCACUUUGUUUAACUGCCGGUAAUCAAUACAAAGCCGCAUCGAUCCAUCUUUCUUUUUAACAAACAAUACUGGAGCUCCCCAAGGUGAAAUGCUCGGUCUAAUAAAUCCACGAUCUAACAAGUCCUGUAACUGCACUUUCAACUCUUUCAACUCAGUGGGCGACAUUCGAUACGGUGGUAUAGAGAUUGGUGCUGUACCCGGAUACACUUCUAUAGCAAAUUCAACCUCUCUGUCAGGUGGUAAACCCGGUAGCUCUUCAGGAAAUACAUCUGGAAACUCACAUACGGUUCUAAUCUUACUGCACUGACUACCAACCAAAUCAGAAUUAAUAACAUAGGCUAAAUACGCUGUACAACCCCGCUGAAGCAAUUUAUUAGCCUUUAUUGUCGAAAUAAUACGUGCCGGCCCAUUAGUACGGCUACCAUUUACCUCAAUUCUGUCCCCGUCUUCUGUCUGAAUACUAAACUUCUUUUUAUAACAAUCCAAUACCACUCCGUGCUCAGCCAACCAAUCCAUCCCCAGUAUUAUAUCAAAAUCUCCAAAUGGCAUAAUCAACAGGUCAAUAGGAAAAGUUUUAUUUUGUAUAAUUAACGGGCAUCUCGGACAGACCUGAUUCACUAAUACUGUUUGCCCCAACGGACUCGACACUUCUACAGUCACUCUAGAUAUUUCAGAAUUAAAUUUUCCCAAUUCAACUAAUUUUGAAUUUAUAUAAGAAUGUGAAGAUCCGGGAUCAAUUAAAGCAUAAACAGGCUCAGAAUAUAGUAAGAAUAUACCUGUUACUACAUCGUGGGCGUCACCUUCUUCCCGUGUUCUGACCACAUAAGCUCUGGCAGGUACUUUAGCCUCAGACUGCUGAGUAGCAAUAUCAUUGCUUCUCCUAAUACUUCCUCCCCUUGAAACCGAACCACCUCUUCCUAACCCUCUGCCUCUAGCUGUAGAUACCGAUCUCUGUGAUGUCACGGGUACAGUACUAUCAACUUUCGGACAGUCUCUGAUGAAAUGGUUUGUAGAACCACAUCGAAAACAGCCUCUAGUUAAUUUCCAACAUUCCCCUCUGUGUUUCUUUCCGCAGUGUUGGCAGUCUGGAAUAUCUAUUUCUCGGGAAGGACCUCUCACACUGCAGUAGAUAUCAUCGUCUGUUUUCCCCUACUUCUACCACCUCUGUCUGACCUGAAACUGGAUCUCCAACCACUUUGGAAUUCCUUUAGUCUUUUCGGCUGAGGAUUCGAACUGGUAGUUCCUGUACGCUUCCCGGUUGGUCUAACAACUUCAGUCUUUUUGUCGAGGCCCAGAACUUGUUCCACCAUUUUAGCUCGUUCAAUCAAAUCUACUAACUCAGUGAUCCGAUGAGAUACUAGCUGCACUUUGAUCUCGUCUCGUAAACCCCGUAAAAAUCUUUUACAACUAUCGACUUCUGUCGGAAUAAACUCGGAGGCAUAUCUGCUGAGUCUCGAGAAUUCCCUCUCAUAAUCUAUUACUGACAUAUCACCCUGUUGUAGCAACAAAAACUCUUGUUUCUUGUCUUCAAUAUACAUCUCUCCGAUAUAUUUCUUUUGAAACUCCUUCUGAAAUAGAUCCCACGUUAUCUGACUCUCUGGUAAAUGUCGAACCACUGAUUCCCACCAUAGAUAAGCCUCCCCUUGUAAUAACGAUACGGCACAGAUUAAACACUCUCGGGGGGUACAAUCCAAUUGCUGCAAAAUUCUUUUAGUCGACUCCAUCCAAUUUUCAGCUAUGGAUGGAUCAACUCCUUUUAGACCCAUAAAUUCAGUGGCACCAUAUUUCCUCAGUUCCUUUAUCGGAGCCCGUCUAACAGUAGGUACUGAAGUCGUAACAGGAGUAGUUCCUGCUACUCUUUGUAAUGCAUCAGCUAUAAUUCUCAGUAAUUGGGAUUCAUCUCUAUCUCUGACAUUUUCUCGUUCUACAUUAGAAGGUUGGUUGCCUAACGGAUUCACACUCGGUGCAACAGAUUCUGUUUCAUCUAAUUCUCUAUCUUCACUAUACAUUCUUUCAUCAGUAUCAUUUAUUCUUUCUUCAGACAUCUUUAAUCUAUAAAACAAAACAAACAAAUAGGUCAGCAUCCAAAAAUCCCGAUUCAGUUUAACUUGACAGUGGCAUGUACAUCUAGACUCAAUUCCGAGCUCGAUUUAGGCCGAGAAUCGGCUAAACUUGAUAGCUCUGAUACCACAAAAUGUAACACCCCUUAACCCCGAACCGUCGCCGGAACAGAAUUACGAGGCAUUACCGGACGUAUCAAACGAUUUACAACAAUUCUUAAAUAAAUAACCAAUAUAUUAAAAUAAUUCAUAAAAUUUAUUAGUUUGUUUACCAAAUGACUUCAUUUUUUUUUAUAAAAAUUUCGGCAGCAUUUCUGCUUAUUUUUACAUAAAACCCCCUGUAAAUUAAAACCAUAUAGUUCCCAAAUAUCACCAAUUCAACCAAUUCAUUUCACAUUCACAUUUUCUAUUCUAAAUACUUCUAAUCAAACUCAAUCUACACAAUAUCAAUUUAAAAUUUAACAAUGUACUAAUUAGAUAAAAUAGAUAGACUUCUUUCAUUAAAAUCCAUAAACUUUUAAUACUAACAUUUUUAACCAUUAUAUAAUAAAACAUAAUAACCUUUAUACACAAUCUAUGUACAUGCCACCUUUACCAAAGGAAAAAUACAUCACCAAGUUUUGCCGAAGCCGGGAUUAAUCUGGAUGCUGAACCGGGACCUUUGACUUCUAUUGACCUGCGCACGGAAACAACCGUACGCUGAGUAAUUCAUACUCAGUGGUAUUACCAUAAUUCAAAUUAUAACAAUAAUGUACAUGUAAUGCAUAAAUCGUAUAUACAAUUUAAAUUAAAUAUUUCAACAAUAGCAAUUCAUCAACCAAUAUCGUAUAUCCACAAUUUGAGUUUGAAUAAUUCACGAACCUUAGGUUCAUUUCUCAAUCUCAUUUCACAUUUCAAUUCACAAUUCAACUUUCUCAUAUCAUUUCAAUAGCUCGUUUGACCAACUCGUUCAGUUUAUCAUUUCAUCAUUUACCCUAUUAACAAAACUCGGACUUUGGCGGAUACACGGAUCCAACCAAACACACCAGAAUGGCACCCAGUGCCUCAUCGGAUAGUUCGAAGCAAUAGUUGACACCCAGUGUCUCAUCGGCAAAGCCGAAGAAAGUUGGUACCCAGUACCUCAUCGAAUCUAUCCGAAGAAAUAUAGUGACACCCAGUGUCUCAUCGACUCGAGGUCGAAGUAUCCCUGAACUCUUCCAAUCCUAUGGAAUGCCAACUAUAUCCGACUCAGCCCGACUAGUUAAUAGGGUAUUUAAAUCACAUAUAUUCUCAAUUCAAUUAUAAUUUUUCACAUUUUCAAUUCAAUCAUUUUUCCACCUUUCAAUCAAUAAUUAUUUCACAACUUCACACAUUUUCACAACUCAAUACAUUUCCAUACAAUUUAAUACCAUUCACAAUUCGAUUCAAAUUCAUUUCCCGCUUUCAAUCAACAAACAAUUCAAAUAUUAUUUCAUAUCAACUAUUCAAUUUAAUUCCCACUCAUAAUAAUAAUAAUAAUACUAAUAAUAAUACUAAUACUAAUAUUAAUACUUACCUCACAUUUCAUUUACUAGACACAUAAAUUAAAAUUUAACAUUUAAAAAUAAAUAAUUUGAAUUAUAGUAAUACAAACCGUUAUUCUCCCGUUUUAGUCCUCGAUAACUUUCUCCUUUCCUUUUGACGCCGAUGCCUCGGGUUCUUUGUUAGCUACGAAAAUAAUAAUUUGUAAUAUUAAUUACAGCACUAAUUAUAAUAAAUAAUUGAAUUUCUAUUCAAUUUCUUCCUAAUUCUCAAUUGAAUCCUAACUAAAUUCACUUACUUUCCUAAUUCAAUUCACACUCUAUUUCUAUUCAAAUUUCAUCCAAACUAAAAUUUAACUAUCAAAAUUUCAGCAUAUUUUGCUAAUUUCGAAUUUCCCUCAAUUUAGUCCCUAAAACAUAAAACUUAUAGUUUCUUUUACAAUUUAAUCCCUUUUUCAAUUCUAACUUAAAAUUCCUUCAAGUUAAUCCCUAAUUCAUCUCUUUUGUUCAACAUAAACUAUACUUGAAAACCUAUGAACUUACAAAAUAUCAACUUAAUUCCAUCAAAACUUUGUUUUAAAGCUUUUAGAACAUUAGAAUUAAGAGAAAAGGGCUAAUUUGACUUACCAAUUUAAAUUUCAAGCUUCAAAAACCCUAUUUUCCCUUUUUUCUUCUUUUUCUUCUUUCUCCCCUGUUUCUCCCCUGUUUCGUCUCUUCUAUUCUGUUUCUUUCCUUUCUUUUGCUUUGUUUUUAUUUCUUUUUAUUUCAUUUACUUUAUAUUAUAUUAAUUAAUUAUAAGUAUUACAAAUGUAUGUAUUUUAUUAGUACUCUUGCAUUAAUUCAUCACCAUACACUUGUCUCAAUCUAACUAAUUUAUCAAUAAAAAUCUCAUAAUAUUAUUAUUUAAUUAACAAUUAUCUUUUACUUAAUUUUCAAGUAAAUAAAUAAAUGUAAUACACUUGUAUUUUAUUUUUACCACACACUUGGCAAAAUCAUAAUUUAUUAUUACCCAAAAAUCUUAUACUAAUUAUUUAAUUAUUAAAUAUCUUUUAAUUUAAUAAUAACUAAUAACUAAUAAUAAAUAAUAAAUAUCUUAUACUAAUUAAUAAGCAAAUUAAAUCUAUAAACUACAAAUAUAUACAUACUUUAAUUACACAUGUAUUACUUUAUCAUGUCUUUAUUUUAAUUUAUUUAAUAAUAAUAGUAAUAAUAUAUUUAAUAUUUUAUAAUUAAUUGUCAUAAAAAUCUAAGAUUUUUAUGCACAUUUGCCGCCUCAUGUAAUAAAAUAGGCUUAAUUACCUAUUUGGUCCCUUAUGAUUUCUUUUAAUCUAUAAUUAUGCUUUCACUCUUUAUUCAAUUUAAUCCUUUUUACUAAUUACUCAUAAUUAAACUAAAUUCACCUAUCUAAAACUUAAUUAAACACACAACUAGUCUCGUAAAUAUUUCUAAUAAUUAUUUUCGGACUCAAUUUACUAGGACGGAGGCCCGAUAUUAUACUUUUCCGAUGCCCAUGAAUUUUGGGUCAUUACAAUAUAUAUAUACUAAAAUGAAAAUAUGUUACUUCUUAUUUGAAUUUGAAAUUCGACUCAAUUAAUCCAAGCCCUAACUCAAUCCAACUCAAUUUGCUCAUAAAAAGUUAAUUAUCGGAACUCGUCCAACCCAAAUUUGAAUUAAUCUAGAUCUAAAUUGAUUCAUACCCAAAGCGAUUCAAAUAUGAAAUGACUUGAAUGUAAAACAUUCCAAACCAAAAAUGAUUCGAACUUGUAAUGAAAUGAUUCAAACCUGAAACAACUUAAACAUAAAAUGAUUCAAGCUCGAAAUUAGCUCAAACCCAAAAUAACUUGAAAAUUUUUAAGUGAUUCAAAGUGACUCAACCCAUCUAAUUGAUAGGUCGAAAUGAAGUUGAUAAUCUUUUUGUUGUUUAAUAAUAAGGGUUAACUGCAUCAUAAAUCUCAAACUAUGAUAUGAUUUCUAAAUUGGUUCUCAAAUUUUAAUACAUUCUAAUUGAGUGAUCAAAAUAUCAUUAAUAUUAUAACAAUCUGAUCAUUUCAUCAUCUUAACUAGCAACUUGGACAUUAAAUGCUAACUCGAAUUUGACAUGAAUAAUAUUUAAAACACGGAUCAAAAUUUAAACACGUGUACCUAUCAAAUAGGUAACUUGGAUUUAACAUAUUAAAAGCAUCCUCCUAAAUUUUAAUGCUUAUUAUUUUCAAUACAUUAAAUCUAAGUUGUCCAUGCUUGCAAUAGUUACAUGCUUUUUCAAAUAUAUGAGCUAGAAUUUGCAGCCCAAACCAUGUUGAUAGCCAGGCUAAUGAGAGAUGCGAUAUUGAUACUUAGAUCAUCUCAUUAGCAUGUUAUAAAAUUUGAAGAACAAUUUCAAAUUGACCUCUUCAAUGGCGGCAACUUUUGAUAUGCUUUUUCUUCGCACAUCAAGAUUCAAAGGGAUAAAGUAAUUCUAGCCGCUGAACUUGAAAUUUUCUCACUUUAGUUCCUAAACAUUUUUUUGUCCACAUUAAUCGCAGUAUUUGGCAAUUUUUUUUAAUUUAAUCCUUAAAUUUCGUUAAGGUAUAAUAACAUGAUAUUUUAAAAUGGUGUCACAUUACCUAAAUUUAUUUUCUUUUAGUUUUUUAUAUAAAUUUUUAAGUUAUGGCAUGUUACAAUCUAAGAGUGUCACGUCAAUCCAAGCUCAUGGACAAAAUUAGAGAAAAUUGCCAAGUUACAACAUUAAUAUGGGCCAAAAAAAAUUUAAGGACCAAAUUAAAAAAAAAGUUCCAAAUUCAAGGAGUAAAUAUUAUUUUAUCAAUUUGAAAUUUGGUGGAUUAAUCUAGUUAACCCAAUUAUUAUUAUGGUAAUAAAAGUGAAACCAUGUAUUCCGUACAAAUGAGUAAACUAUUACAUAGAAAAAUUAGAUUUAAUCAUCACAAUUGUAGCAAGUAAAUUUCUUGGAAAUUGCAGCGAAAGCUACCUUUGUUUGCUUUCAACAGUCUACUUACUAAAGCUAGAAGAAAUAUGACUAGGACAUUAAAUUGAUUGCUAUUAACUACUUGCAUUAACUGAUGACCAAUUCAAAAUUAAGCUGAUGGGAAAAUAUUAAUUAAUUACUAUGUAUAAUACGGCUAAUUAUAUAUUGAAGCGAAGUAAGAAAAUCUUUUUAUGGGCGAAAUUAAAUGGUAAUUUUUAAUAGUUUAUAUCUUUAUAAUUUUUAAAUGAUUAAAUUAAAUUUUUAUUAUUUUUAGGGGAUUAAAAUGUAAUUUUACCUUUACUAUUUUAAAAUGUUAAAAUUUCUCAAGAACCUAAAUGGACAAUUUUCUAUAUUAAGGGGGUCGAGGCCCUGCCAGCCCCCUUAGAUACGUCACUGAUUAUAUAAUUAUCAUUUACACUAGAAAAAGCAAGAGACUUCUUGGGGACUACUGUGUAACUUAAAAAUCUUUUCCUAAUUAACCCCUAAACUUAAAUUUCAUUCAACUAUGAUUAUGUGAUUUUUUAAAAUUGUGUCACACCAUCUCUUAAAAAAAUUUUAAAACAAUUAUGUAAAAUCUAAAAAAUACAAAAAAAUUAUUAAAAUUAUACAGAAUUUUAAUAAAAAAAUUUUUAAAUAAUAAUAAUAUGACAUAAUCUUAAACUGCUACAUCAUCAUACGACAACGAAAUCAAAGUUCAGGACCAAUUUGUGAAAUUUUGCAAAUGAUUUGUUCCAAUUUAAAUUUCAAAAAUCAUUUACAUUGUUAUUAACGUAAUACCAUUUUAUAGUCGCAUAUAGCAUACACAAACAAUUAUAUCCAAUAGUUAAAUUUUUUCGAACUUCCACAAUUAAAUAAAAUUUAAUAUUUUAACAUUACAGUUGAACAAAAAUCAAAAGUAUCAUAUUAUAUAUUUAAUAAAACACAAGAAUAAAAUAUGGUUAUAAUUAAUAGUGACUGAUUACAUUCAUAAAUAUAAUAUUACCUAAAGUGGUGUAUAACUUUAGCAUGAUAUCUCAUUUUAAAAUUCAAUCAAUUAUCAUACACGAAACACGAAACAUGACUACACUUAACUACAAAUUAAUAAAGAAAUUUAGUAGUGUAUAUAUGAGACAAUCUAUGCUAAAAACGCGGUGUUGCUUUUCCAUUUUAGAUUGACAACUUGGGAAGAAAGUCUUUAUUUAUAUUUAAUUUGUGGAUAUCGGUAUUAUUGUCAAUGCAGCAGUUCUUCCUAUUUAAAUAUUAGAAAAAAAAUUAUAUUUUUUUGUUAAAAUAUCUAGAACUGCCCAUAGUCUCUACCUAACUCAUAAAUAGGAUGAUAAUAUGCUUUAGUGCACUCAAACUCACGCUCUCUUGUAUCGGCAACAAUAUACAUGUCAAUCGAACUGAGACUCAAUCGACAACAAAUUUAUAUUUUAAUAUUAUUAAACAUGUGUUCAAUUUUUAAAUUUAUAAUUUAUAAUUAUUUUUAUUUAAAGAUGAAUUAUAAUUUAAAAGAAAUAUUUUUGUAAUUUUAUAACUGGGUUAGUGAUCCGAUUAAAGGUGAUUCCUUAAAUAAUAGUAUAAAUAUUUCAUUUAAAAUAUUAUUUGAUGUAAUAAAGGGUUACAGUGUAAUCUAAAAAAGAGAACGUCUGUUCAAGCUUAAAGGCUUCAGUCUUAAAAAAGAGCUUUAACAAAAUAAAAUUAUAGUUUAUUAUAUUCCGACAAUCCACUUUAAAAGCUAAUCCCACUUUUUAUAUUAUUCGUAGAGUCGUCAAGUCAACAGUUUACCAAUGAUUCGGUGAACAUGCUCACACCACAUGUUAUCUUAUUCCUAAUUAUUUAAUACUCUCAAUCUCUGAAAUUACGGCUUGACCAUUUCAAAUUUUCAUUUAAAAUACAUAAAAUAUUUAAAUCCAUCAAUUUAAUAAAAGUUCUUUUAAUUGAACAUUAUUUACAAAAAAAAAAUACAAUGAAUUCUUUUAGUAAAUGAGUUAUUUUACUAUGUAUCUUUAAAUUGUAUUUAAAAAUAAAUAAAUAAAUAAAAAUCUCAAUUAUAAAUUUUCAUUAUCUGCUUAUUUCAAAAAAAAAAUUAUCCUCUUAAUAUCAAAUAAUUAUCCAGAAUAUAUUAAUACUAAUAUAAAAAUAGUUUAAUAUUUAAUAUAUUGUUGAUUAAAUUUAUGUUGGAUUUACUUAAUACUUAAUCUUAACUCGACCGGCAUAGGUAUUGUUGUCAAUACAGGAGGACGUAGGUUUCAGUGUUCCUAUUUAUGGGCAGUUUUUCUUUUCUAACAAUCCUAUUAUAGAGUCGAAUCAUAUUUAUUCUUUUUGACACAAUCUCUAAAAUUAAUUAUAAGCUCUCACCAACCCUUAAAUGAGAGAAAACUGACAAUAAUAUUUAUGUUAAUCGAGUUAAUAUUUUUUUUAGCCUAUUAGAUUGUGCCAUAUAUAUUAAAACCAUAUGGACAUAAAAUUGGUACUGCUAAAAUGUGUAAAAGCAUAUAUGCAAAAAUAGUAGCCAAUAUGACCAAUUCAAAGGAAUCUAAUUUACAAGGUUUAAGACUGAAAAGCAGGGGACUUAUGUAUAGUCUUGGUUCUAAUUUUUCAAAGAUCAAAUUAUAUGACAGAAAUUUUCUUGGAAAAAAAUGUUGUUUGGAAAAAAAUUUUCUUGACCUCCAAGCAAAACCUAGUCCACAAAAAAGGAGGUCAAGCAAAGAACUCAUAAAUUUUUAAAAUUUAAUUUUUUUCACUUAUUAAAAGAUUAAUCAAUUAAACUCGAUACAAAGCACAAUGAACAGAAAACUCAAAUAAAAUUCUUGAAUAUAACAAGAUUCGAUUAUGAACAUUCAAAAUCUUAAGAUACUACUAAAACAUCUAUCAGACUUUAAUUUUCGAAUCAAAAGUAAAAUUAAUUUUCAAUAUACAUCAAUCAGUGAUGACUUUAUUGGGAUUAACCGUGUGGGUUCCACCAUGAAAGAAAAAGAGCCCGAAAGUCUCAUUCCAUCAUAUUUUUCUAGCAAAUGCUUCCAAGUAUUACAAGACUUUUCUCUCUCCCCCACACAAAGCUUCUGGUGCUGCUGAUAUAUUUACUUGGUCUUUUCCCUCUUGUUCAAAACAUUUAUAAAUAACCAAGUGUGUUAAUCUACCAAACAUUGUGUCUUUUGCAUGCAACAAACAUUUCUUACACCCUCUUUUAUCUUAUAUUCACUUAAUAUACAUACACAAAUAAGCAGCAACAGCCUACAGCUACAAUGAGUAGCCAAUCUAGUAUGGAUGAUAAUGCUACCCCGAAGAUCGAACUUCCAGGCUUCCGAUUCCAUCCCACCGAGGAAGAACUGCUCGAAUUUUACCUCAAAAACAUGAUCUACGACAAGAAGUUACGUUACGACAUUAUUGGAUACCAUAACAUCUAUCACCAUGAUCCUUGGGACUUGCCUGGUACGUGUAUAUAUACAUAUAUGGUUUAAUAUGAUGGUUUUAAGUAAUGUUAAGCAAAUUUAUAAGAUUGGUUUUUUUUUUUAUGAUAGGGUUGUCGAAGAUUGGAGAGAGAGAAUGGUAUUUCUUUGUUCCUAGAGAUAGGAAGCAUGGAAGUGGUGGGAGGCCUAAUAGGACUACGGCAAAUGGGUUCUGGAAAGCCACCGGUUCCGACCGGAAAAUCGUGAGCUUAUCAGACCCGAAGCGCAUUAUCGGCUUGAAAAAGACUCUUGUUUUCUAUAAAGGGAGAGCUCCACGAGGGUGCAAGACCGACUGGGUGAUGAACGAGUAUCGUCUCCCGGAUGGUUGCUCCUUGCCUAAGGUAUUUAAUCUUUCUUCAUUCACAUACAUGUUUGCAGUUUCAUCCACAUGUUUUAAAUAAGCGAGGGAACUUAAUCAACUUCGUUGAAAUGUUUAGAAGUUUAGGACCAGUUUAAAAUCUAGACCAUAGUUUUAGGACCCUAAGUGCAAUUAAUCCAAAACUAAUAUGACUUGAACAUUUUUAAUGUGAACACUCUGGUAUUAUGAUUUAUAAUGGGUCCCAAACUUUUGGGACAAAGAUAUAAAAGAAAGUUGUAAUCAAUGCUAAUGUCAUUGUAUGAUUGAAUGGCAGGACGUGGUGUUGUGCAAAGUAUAUAGGAAAGCAACUUCCCUGAAAGUUCUUGAACAAAGAGCUGCAAUGGAGGAAGAGUUGAAAGCAAUAAAGAACACAUCUCCUUCAUCUCCACUAUCAUCUAUGGAGACAAUCUCUUUUUGCAGCCCAAAAGAGGCUCAAGUGCCAGCACCCCAAAUGUUCUUUAAGAAAGAAAAUGAAGAACAAGAACAAGAAACAAUGGUGGAAAAGAACAGAUGUCUACAAUUACCAUUAGGUAGUGAAAAACUACCAGAGCUUCAAAUGCCCAAAGUGCUAAGUGAUUGGACCCAAGAUCAGUUUUGGACUCAACUGAACAGCCCUUGGUUCCAAAAUCUCACAACCUAUGCCAACAUCUUGAAUUUCUAAGUAAAAGCUUAAUUAAUUAUCAUCUCAGCUCGAAGAGGCAUCUUAUUUCAUUGGUAUUAAUUAGUUUAGACCCUGAUGUUGUGUAUAUAAGCUUAUCUCCUACCGUUUUAGUUUAGUUCCUUCCUACUAGCCUCUAAGAUGACCAAACUUUUUUAGAGAUUCAAGCUUUGGAAGCCUUUGCUUGUUUUGUUGACGAUAUUUUUUUCAUAAAUGUUUACCAUGUGUUUAAUUUGUUUGAUGUAACUUUGGAGUUUUAUUUUAAUGAAAAUUUUGAAAUUUGGUGGAAAAAUGAUAGGUGAAUGCAUAUGAGAGAUCCCUCUAUUAUAGGAAUUUAAUCAAAUUAGUCCCCUACUAUUAAAAAAAUCAAAUAAGAUCAAAUUAGAAUAGAGUUAAUAUUUAUUGUUUAAAAAAUAUUAUUUUCUGUUUAACAAAGUUACUAUUUUUAAACUUUUGAUUGUUCUGCAAACAAAAUCUUUUGUUUACAAUUGAAAAAAUAAUAACUUUCAAGACAAUUUUUAUGCGUUGACUCUAUUAAAAUAUAGAUUGUUUUUUUAUUUUCUUAGUCUCCGAUUAAUCUAAUUCAAUCCCUAUAAUACAGACAUUUUAACCCAAAAUUGUAGGUAGAGAGAUGGUGCUCUCUGGUAAGUGUAUAGUUCAUAGGUUAGGUGGAGUUUAGUUUAACCUAACCAUGAUAUUUAUAAAAUUUUGAAAUUUGGUGGAAAAAUGAUAGGUGAAUGCAUAUGAGAGAUCCCUCUAUUAUAGGAAUUUAAUCAAAUUAGUCCCCUACUAUUAAAAAAAUCAAAUAAGAUCAAAUUAGAAUAGAGUUAAUAUUUAUUGUUUAAAAAAUAUUAUUUUCUGUUUAACAAAGUUACUAUUUUUAAACUUUUGAUUGUUCUGCAAACAAAAUCUUUUGUUUACAAUUGAAAAAAUAAUAACUUUCAAGACAAUUUUUAUGCGUUGACUCUAUUAAAAUAUAGAUUGUUUUUUUAUUUUCUUAGUCUCCGAUUAAUCUAAUUCAAUCCCUAUAAUACAGACAUUUUAACCCAAAAUUGUAGGUAGAGAGAUGGUGCUCUCUGGUAAGUGUAUAGUUCAUAGGUUAGGUGGAGUUUAGUUUAACCUAACCAUGAUAUUUAUAAAUACUAAUGUCAUUAUCAUUUUAGCUAACAAUUAAUGUUUCUAAAGUCUACAAACAUUAAUAUUCCGAGGGUGUAAAAACCAUAUUUGAUACAUUGAUAGCAUAUAAGUUAGAUGAUAAACACAACAUCAUCGAAUCGGCUUAAUGCUGGCUGAAUUUUUUCUGGUUGUAGCAGUCAAUACAGUCACCGUAACUAACUCCGAACAUGUCACAAUACCUUUUGUAAAACCCGAUGAGGUCCUCUCCCGCUGCGUUCCAACCCUGACCGCAUAAACCGCCAUUGACGAUAUUUGUGAUCACUCCAUACCCUGGAAACCUACCUGCCGCCACGUCCCUAGCUGAAGGCGUCCACGCUCCAGUGAUCACAUCGUGGCAAGAAGGCUUUAACCCUUGCGGAGUCAUCCAGAACCAUAAUGCAGAUUGGAAACACAAUGUGGCAUCGCUUACUAUCAGGUCUGGGUUUUCUAACAACUCCUUUUCCAUCCCAAUGGUUGCUCCAAAUUGACCAUAGUUGUAGUUCCUUAAUUAUCAAAUUUUGUUUCAUUAUUUCAAUGUCAAUAAAAGAAAUACAAUUGUCGAGAUAUAAAAUUUCAAUAAAAUUAACAUGAAAUUAAUGUGAAUUGCCGUCCGAACAACCAUGUUUUAGUCAAUAUUUCUAUUAAAAAUAUAACAAAACAAGCAAAAUUAUAGAAAUGUAAUGUAUAGUUACCAAGUAAGUUGUAUGGGGCCUCGACCAUAAUAUUUCUGACCAGGAACACAUGGGUACUCUUUGCAUGUCUUGUCCAAAUAAUCUGAAGGAGGGUUUAUUUGCUUAGUAAAGCAGUAUCCCCAUACAUACGGACCACCGGGUGCAUUCCACCCUACUCCUCCUAAAAUCAUUAAAUUAAUCAUUAAAAUUAAUUGUACAUAUUUGAACAGCUGAUUGCACCAAAUUAAAAAUUAAAAUUUAUGUAUUAAAGUGGACGAAAUUUAUCCCCUAAAAAUAUGCUCAAUCUUUGUACUGAUUAUAAGAAAAAGGGACAAACCAGAAGUUUCAUGUGAAGUUUGGCCGAAGAAAGCAGCAACUUCCCUCUUGCGAGUAGCAUCAUCGCCGGUUGCAGCAAAAGUAGGAUAAGCCUUUGCAGCUUCCAUUAAAGCAUCAUAUGUGUAGAACCCAGCGGCAGGGCAACGAGGAUCGUUUCUAUACGGAAGCAUCUCUUCAAACACUUCUCUUGUUACAAUGCUGCUCAGUCCACCUCCACCGUCGCUUCCGCCGCCGCAACCACAACCGGCGUCGCCUUUGUUGCAGUUGCUUCGGAAACUAAUUUUUUUGAGGCGCUGAUAACUAUUGGAGCCACGGCAACCCCAUUGGGCUCUUGGAAAAAUGGCAGUGCCACUGCCAGGUUGCUUUUCACACUGCGGAGUUGAGCCUGGGAAUACAUUGGAGCAAAAUGACAAGGCUGGAGCUCUCAUUUUUUGUGAAAAAUGUAAGUGGGUUUCUCUCAGUUGUGUUAGUGAAGAAAGGGCAACAGUAUGAUAAAUAUAUAUAUAGCAGAUUCUCAUCUACCAAAGUUAAUAAUGUGGUCUGCCAUGGCUGUUCAAGUUUUUGGCUUUUUGCGCUUGAUUCAACGUUGGGGACCCAUCCAUUAAAAGUGCUAGCUCAGAUGAACGGCUAUUUUUCUCCGUGAAUACCAAAGCAAUAAUAGUUAUCUAAGUUACUAUAUAAACUUAAAGUUUUAAUUAUUUAAUUUUAAAAAUUAUAAAAUAAUUAUCGAAUUACUAAAAAAAGUUUUAUUUAAGUUAAUAUUAGUAAAUUUAGGUUUUUAUUAUUUAACCUUAAAAAGUUAUAAAAUAAUUAUUAAAUUAUUCAAAAAAAAUUAUUUAUAAAAUUAGACCGCUAUGUUCUUUUUAAAGUUUGUCUUGCAAGCUCUAAGUGAUGAUUCAACGAUUGAUAUGAUAGAUCAGUACCUAUUGACGAGUAGAACAUAUAUUAAAUUCAAGUUGAUUUGACAAUCAGUAUCAGAGAUCAGACAAAAAAGUUAUUUGAAUUUUAAUCCCUAGAUUUAUAACUUUCAAACUAUUUAAUAAAAAAUAAUUAAAUUUUUUAAAAAAAAAAUGAAAAGAGAGCUUUCGAUUAGUGCUAGUAAUGUGAAUAAAUAACAUACAACAAUAUAUAUAAUAGUCCAGUAAUUUAAAUAAUUCAAUAAUUAUUUUAAAAUAGAAAUUUAUUAUCAGUUUAAUAAUAAUUUCUCCUAACGGUCACAAUAUCUAUAAAACCUUGAGAGAGGAAUCUUUUUCCAAUUUCCAUACAAGUUUUAAAAUUGAUUAAGAAAUUCAAGAUGAAAAGUACAUAACACGUGGGCAGGCUAUCGCUAAUUCAAGCAUUUUUAUUUAAAUCUAAAUAUUUUUUGUUAAUUAUUUUUUAUAUCUAAAGUUUUGUCUGGAUAUUCUCUACAUAUGAAUUUUUUUUAUUUUUAAAUACAAUAAUAUUCUGAUGAAAUUUGAACUUGUAUUUAUGCAUUUCAAAUUUUUUAUUUUAUUAUUUUAAUCAAAAUAUCAUUUAAUUUUUAUAUAAAUUUAUUACUAUAUUUCUUACAUACAUUUUCUUCCACCUAUGAACCUUAUAACUUCUCUCAAAAGAUAGUGAAAUCCCAAAAAAUGGGGAUUCUCUCGUGGAAAAGGAGAUGGAACAACUUGGGAUAGGAGACCCCUUUCUCCACCGUUUUAGAGUAUGAUUAAGUAGGUAAGUAUUCCAUUAAAUUAAGUAAAAAAAAUUGAGUUAAUUGAGUUGAUAAGUCUUAAUUAUUUUAUUAUCCCCAGUUUGAUUUGGAAUAUUUUUUUAAUAGAAUCAAGUGAAAUGAAAUUCAAGUCGAGUUAAAUCGAAUCAAGUGAAAUUGUUCGAGUUAAAUUAAAAAAAAUUGAACAUGUCAAAUUAAAAUCUUGUUACUGUAUAAAUAAUUUCAUGUUAAAGCACAUAAAUUUGAAACCAUAUACGUUUGAUAACUUUUUCAAAGCAAAAUAAAGAAAAAAAAUUCAUAAACUUGAAUCAUUAAUUUUUUUUUCUAAUUUUUCUAAUUUUUUCAAAAAAAAAAUUUGAAUUUUUGAAAAAUAUUUUUUUUAUUUUUUAUUUUUGUAAUUUUUGAUGAGAUAGAGAUUAAUUUGAUCAUUUUCAAAAUUGACAAGAACCAAAAGAGUAUUUACAUCAAUAUGUCAUUUUAAUUAUUUGAGUUAUUUGAUUUGUAAAAUUUAACUCAAAACUUGAAUUACUUAUUCGACUUGACACGAAAAACUCAAUCCGAUUAACUCGAAAUUCAAAUUUUUUUUCAAUUUUGUCGAAUUGGAUUGAAUUUAACUCACUCGCCUAAGAAUUUUUUUGCGAGACUCGUAUAAUAAUUUUCCAGUAAAAUGAUUAUAGGGUAUAAAAUAUAUUUAUAUAUUAACAAUUUUAUUUCAAUUAAGCUAAAAUUCGAGCUUCAUUUUCAAAAGGAAAAUGGUCUACUAGUCAUGUGGGUGAAAUUAAUAAAUUAUUAAUUAUUUACAUAAGGUAUAAAAAUCAAAAUGAAAUAAUUAGGGGUAGGAUCCUUUAUAAUUUUGAUUUGAAUUUGACUUAGAUAAUUUAAAUUUUAAUCCGAUCUGAUCCCAUUUCAUCAUAGAAACUCAAUAAUUUAAAUUAAAAAAUAACCCUCAUAAAAAAUAAUACAAAUAUGAUUUAAUUACGAUUAUAUGUAGGAAAGUGGGUUUUGUUCGGAUUGAGGAUCUUGGAAUGUGUCUUGGUGUGCCUCUCAUUCAUAAGAAAGUUGGUGUAAGCACUUUUGAAUUUGUGGUUAAUAAACUCCGUAACAGACUAAAUGGUGGGAAGCGAAUAAAUUGUCUUUGGCUAGCAGAAUAACAACUGUGUUGCCUCAUUCGAUUGAUGCGGGACCAAAUCAGCUAUCAUGGAGAUGGGCGACAAGGGAUAAUUUUUCAUCGACAGAUACUUAUAGAGGUAUUCACCAACUUGGCUCGGUUGAUAAUUCUAGUGUUUGGAAUUUGAUUUGAAAAAUCAAGACGCCUCAAAAGGGUUAGGGUGUUCAUUUGGAUUAUGUGGAAGAAUAGAUUAUUGACUAAUGGAAAGAGAGUAAGGAGACAUACGGCGAAUGAAAGCCAUUGUCCGAGAUGUAGCAAUGUAUAUGAAUCGAGGAUCCAUGUUGUUCGGGAUUGCACCUUUUCUAGGAUUGUUUGGUGGUCAAUUGUGCCAACUCAUUCUCAAGUAAGAUUUUUUUUCUCUGCCAUUAGAUGAAUGGAUUUUAUGGAACAUGCAAAACAUUGGAGAUAUUGAUAGUUAAGAGAUAGAAUGGUGAAUUUUUUUUCCUAUAAUGUGUUGGCUGCUAUGGAAAAAAUUAGAAUAUAUAUGUGUUUUCUAGUAGUCAUAGUUGUGCCCAGGAAAUCAUGGAUAUGGGUGUUAGUUGGACGAGGAGUUACGUAAGGAUGCUUGCACCUGUGUUACAUGUUAAUCCUAUGGUUACUGCUAUGCAGUGGUCAGCUCUGAAUAAAGGUUGGAGUAAGCUUAAUACAAAUUGGGCAGUGUCGUUAACUGGAUCUUAUGUUGCCAUUGGGGGAGUGAUUAGAGAUGCUAAUGUUAAUUAGUUAUGGGGAUUCUCGAUGUUCCUAGGUAAAGACGCAAUUUUUAAGAUCGAAGUAAGAGCUAUUAUAGAGGGUCUACACUUAGCAUGGAAGAAGGAGAUUUGGCAGUUAGAGAUUGAGUGUGAUAAUGCUCUUUUGGUGGAGACAAUUGUGGCUAGUGGAGCAGCUGAUAGUAAGAUGUUGGAAUUACACACUAUUCAUCGAAUGAUACAUCUAAAUUGGAAGGUUUGUAUACACCAUAUUCCGAGAGCUCAUAAUGCAGUCGUUGACCAUAUGACUAAGGUUACGGCUAUAAGAUUCACAGAAAUUCAAGAAUUCGAAGAACCACCUUGUUCAAUGUAGGAUUUAGUUCAUGCAAAUUAUAUUAGUUGUAUAAGGAACUAAUGCGCUUUUUAAUAAUGUUGUUUAAAAGUGUUUUAUUUUACCAAAAAUACAAACAUGAAUCAAGAAUUAUUCGAAUAAAUAAUUCAAAAUGAUUUAAACUCUAAACAUUAAAUCUAAAAAAAAAAGGAAAAAACUUCAAAAUUGCAAAAAAAAAAAAAACACACACACACAAAUAACUUAAAACCCAAUCUUCAUUCAACCUCAAAAUCUUAGAAUUUUAGAACAUAAACUGAUUCAAUUCAAAAUAAACUGAAUAACUUCUAGUUAUUAUACACCUAAAAAAGAGUGUUAACUGAACUCCUUAUGAAGGCCUGAUAAUCAAAAAUAUUUAUUUUUAUAUAUUAAAUUUUUUUUAUACGUCUUCCGUAAAUCAGAAAAUAACACAUCAUUUAAUAUAAAAAAUCCUUUCUAAAAUCCUUCUGAUUGUAGCAAUCAAGAUAGUCGCCGCAAUUAACUCCGAACAUGUCACAAUACCUCUUAUAGAACCCAAUGCGGUCCUCACCCGCCGCAUUCCGACCCCGACCGCAUUGACCUCCAUUGAUGAUAUUCGUGAUCACUCCAUACCCUGGAAACCGACCUGCCGC